rnacentral:lncRNA from 1 species
CUAAUGUUAUCUGUAGGCGUUGGGAAAUAGAUAUUAAAUAAAAAAAAUCUUUGAUUUACUCCCUAAUUUUAUGCGCAAUUGCUCGUAGAUAAGGAUCUUGGAUAUAUUCCAUAAAUUGGAGAACAUUGAGGGUUUGAGGAGGUAGUUAGGUUUUUGUUAAAUUAUUUUUUAUUGUUAUGAGUUUUUCAAGUAUUUUAAAGAAAAGACAAAAGUAAUGACAUAAUUCUUAUUUUUUAAUUCAAGAUGCUGGGUUUGAUUUAUAUUUAUAUUUCUUAUUCUACUAUGUUCUAAUUUUCUUUUGUUAGGGCUACAAUGUAGCCUAACCAUAAUGAUGUGAAUUUCAUGAUUUUUAUGUUUUAUAAUUGAUUUCAUUUAUGUAAGUUAUAUAUUAUUAUGCAUAAUGUUUUUGAGUGACUAACCACCACUUGAAUAAUCUGAUGUGCAUGUUUGAGAUUGAUAAGUGAUAAUAUGCAAUUGCUUAUUAUAAUAUAUAAGCGUGAAUUAAACAUGGAUAGAGAUAUACCGCGCUAUUUUUGUAACUUUCGAUGAUAAGGUGAUCCAAAAGAGCCGAGAAUAUUCAUAGUUUUUAUAGCAAUUACAUUUAUUUUAAUUCAUAUAAAGAUAUAGUAGAUUAAUAAACUGAGUAGGUUUACUAUACCUAGAGAUAGGAUAAUAAAUAGAUUAGGAAAUUCCGUUAUCACAUGUUUGAUAUUGUUUUUUUUUUUUUUGGUGAAAGGUAAUAACAUGUUUGAUAUUGUUCUUAUACCCACAACAAUCUAAAAUUCAUAUCUAGUGGUUAUGGUAAAAUCGGAUGCUCUAACAUAUAUAUCUGAUUGAUUUAUUGCAUUUAGUCUUCAAAUUUUCUCAAUUAUAUUUUGAUCUGUUAGAUAAAUUUUAAAAUUAAUCUAUUUUAGUAUUUAAUUAGUUUAUUAAUCAUCAAUGUUUGUGGGACGAUAUUAUUUCUCAUCAUUAUAUUAUUUGUUUGACACGUUCACUUGCAUUUAGAAUUUUACGAAUAGACCUUUCAAAUGAGUGGAUCGGGUUAGGAAUUAUCCUCCCCAAAUUGACCUAUUAAUCGGUUUAUGACGCAUUUACUAGCAAUGUAAAUUUAUUAAUCCAUACUUGACUCGUACCAAAUCAUAUCCAAUCUGACUCAUAUUAUAAAACAUUUUCGUAUUAAAUCAAAUUUAGAAAAACUUAUUUCUUACGAUAUUUUGAAAAAAAUUAGAUUGUUAAAACACUUCCAUACAAUUACAAAUUUAAUGAAUAAUUUUUUUUUAAAAAAAAGUAAGGCUCCAUUUGUUACAUGAAAAAUGUGGUAUUUUUGAAAAUAAAAAUAUUUUUUAGUGCUUGGUUGAAACUUGAAAAUGGAUUAGAAAUUAUUUUUUUCUUAAUAUAAAAAAAAUAUGAUUUGAUAUUUCAUGCAUUCCUUUUAAGUAAUUUUAUUUUUUUUAAAUAGAAUUUUUAUUUUUUAUUUCCUUUUCUUUUUCCUCCUUCUUCUCCCGAUUGCUAGUAACAUGCGAGCUCAAGUCUUGUCAUAGGUUGGCAAGGCUCGAGCUCAACCGAUUCCAACAACCUGAGCCUCGCCAUCCUUGGGUGAGGCUCCACCUCGCUAAACUGGCAAGGUUGAGCUUGCCCCAACGCUAGCAAGCUUGAGUCUCGCCAGAUCAAUGGGGCUCAAGCCUUGGCUUCACCUAAUUGAGAGCUCGAGGCUUGCCCAGUUGGGGAGGGUGGACUCUUGCUGGCGUUGAGGACGGUGAGCUCGACCUCACCAGAUUUGGCGAUCUCAAGCUUGCCCAAGGCCAGUGAGCUCGAGGCUAGCCAAUGCAAUUGGCAACUGGGCAAGGACUACAAUGGCUAGAGAGGGUCAGUCGUUGGACUUCAUAGGGGAAAAAAGGUAAAAAAAGAAAGAAAAAUAAAAAGAAAAGAAAAUAAUUAUUAAAAAAUCAAAAAUUGUUUAAAAAAUAAAAUUAUAAAAUCUGCUCUAGAAAACGAUAUAUCAUUAAUGAAUUGACUCAACUUAUAACUUUUAUAAGUUAAAUGAGUUGUAAAUGGGUUUAAAGAUAAACUCACGUGUCAUUAGACUUACAUACAAUUUAAACCCAUUAAUAACUUAUUUAUUAAAAUUUAAUUAACGCAUAUAUAAUAUAUAUGACCCAUCUCAUUGUAAAUGGGUUGACAUCUCUACUUUUGAAUGGACUAGUACAUUAAUGAUGUGGUUAUCACAAUUGCACAUAAUAUUUUUUCCGAUUGAGGGGCUGUUGGGUUGAGCGACGUGGAAUUUUCGAAUUUAGCCCAAAAUAAAACUGACCCAAUUAAUCGAAGAAACUCUCGCAUGGACCAAAUCGCUAAGCCUAUUGUGAUCACAGCCGUUGAUCUUAUAUAUAAUGUUCACGAGAUUGACAAUUAUGAUGCCAGUCCAUGUGAUCCUGUAUCUAGACAACAAUUUGUCUUGUAAUAGGUGUUGUAAUUUAUUUCUUUUUAAAGCUUUACAAAAUAAGUUUUAAUCUCCUUAGGAUUUCGCCCAAUUAUAUUUACUUUCAAAAACGCAUUUUUUGCAUAUGUAGUUUUAACUCUAGACGCCAAUUUGCACCUUGAUAUUAGUUGGUAUUAUGAAUUUACUUACAACAUCGUUAUUUUUAUUUCAAAAAAACCAGACCAAAAUCUAAAAUUUCCAACCCCGCACGCUAACCCGAAACCUAACUCAUUCAUAUCGACCACUGUGACUUGCCACCGUGCUGGUCUCCGCCUUGCUCCUUAUCGAGCGCCGACAGCCUCAACGCUAACAUGUCUCUCAAUUCAAUGACUAUGAAUGCCUUAACCAUAUUAUACUAUCUGUUAACCUUACUAUGACUUCAAAAAAAAAUAAAAAGGUUCAUGCUUUUGUAUUAACUGCGUAACGAAAAAGAAGUGUACACAAUAAAACCCCUGAUUUGUCUUCUCUGCCCAUGAUUUCAUCAUCGAUUCUUGGAUUGGGGGUUGAUGCUUUCUAGGCCGUUUGACAUAAAAGGGUCAACCCGUUGAGUUAAGGUUGGCAAUCAAAUUUUUACUCCUUGAGCAUGUAGUUUACAUUGUAAAGUUGAUUUCAUUCGUUUUUGUCUACUGUUUUUGCUUAAUUCUGUUCACACGGUUAAUGACUUGGUGCUUACACAUCAGGUCUGGAUCAGAGCAAGAGCAACAACCCCUAACUCUCCCAUGAGGUUAUUAGAUCCAGACUUAUUGGUAACCUGGUGAUACCAAUGUUGGGUAUUUUUUUGAAACUAUGACUAACUAUUUUAAAACGUUAAGCUUUUAGAUGAAGAUAUGGUUUAGUAUUUAAUUACUUUAAUACUCUCUCUCAUGCAUAAGCUGGAUUUUGGGCUCUGAUCCCAAUGUUGAGUGGUCUUGUGGAACUACAACUAAUUAUUCUAAAAAGUUAAGCUUUUAAAUGAAGGCAUGGUUUAGUAUUUAAUUACUCUAAUGCUUCUCCUCCAAGUUGGAUUUUGGGCUAAGCCUAAAGGCAUUGAAAUAUAUAGUUAGGGAGGGAAAUAGGGGCAUGGAAAGAUUGGAACUUAGGACCUCCUAUUCUGAUAGGAUGUAAAAAUUUUGUGGGACAAUUGCCAACUAUUCUAAAAGCUUAAACCAUUAUAUCAAAGUGUUGUUUAAAAUUUAAAUAUUUUAAUACUUUGAGUAGUAUGAAGCGAUGAUUCAAAGACCAUUGAGAUGACAGCAUUACAAGGAAACCGGUUGUUUGAGCCUAUCGCUGUGUCAAACUGUGCCAAGUGCAAUUUGAUGAUUUGCAUCGCAAUUACACAAUGUUUUGGUCAACAUGAACGGUUGAUCUACAACUUUAUCAGCAGUGGAACCCAAGAAAUCGAAACCGACACCAAGAUCCCACAAACUCACCUGCGAAGUGGGUCUCUCCACCGAAGAGUUCACUGAAAUAUAACGUUGAUGGCUCGUGGAAGGAAGAACAGUGAGAAGGAGUGAUGGUCUGGAUUUGUAGGAAUGAACAAGGGAUCCUAAUAGACGGUUUUGCGGAGAAAAUUGCUACUGAUUCAGCCCUAAAAAUAGAGGCUUUGCCCCUUUGUGCGACUUUGUUGAAGUUAGUGGAGGCAAGAAAGAGAAAGGAGUCUUUGGCAAGUAAAAGGGAAAAGUCUUUAGCUUCACCUGAACUAACCUACAAGUGCAAAGUACACUCUGACAGCAAAGUUGUGGUGGAAAGUUUAAUGGACUUAAUUCCGAGCCCAUGGACGGUGCAAGUAAUUAUAGAAGAUACCAAAGUGUUGCUGGCCCAACUUCAAGGAGUCCAAGUAUCUUAUGCGCCUAGAUAAGCUAACAAGUCUGCCGACUGGGUAGCAAAAGCCUAUCGAGACAACCGCCUUCCUCAUAAUUGGGUUUUAUAUCCCCCCCCUUUUGGUUUUAUUAUGUAACGAUCUCAGACUUAGUUGCAAUUCAGCAACAAAUUAGUAAUUGUAAAUGCUUUAUCGACCAAAAAAAAAAAGAUGAAUGAUGAGCAUGUCAUCAUAUUCGAUAGCAACCAACUAGACGACUUAGUAAUAUACGAAUCCCAAAGAUCUCUAGAUGUAACUUGGGAACUAAUUCAUGUGGAUUUCAUAUCCAUCAACAAGGACGGACAUCGUUGGAGAAGAAUGUUUUCCACUUUCGUCAUUGUGCUCUCCAACAGGUACACUUAGACAUAGUCCAUAACUAAUUACCAGAUAAACAAUACUUGAUCUCCAUGAAAACUCGAUUAGUAAACUAAACUCAAUUAGCCAAUGUUCCAUGCAUAAUUGGCGUGCUCCAUGAUGUCGGCGUUAUAUGGAAGACUUUCUGCAUUUGAUUUCACAGAAUUGCCGGUUCGUCUAAAUAUGGAGCCAAACAUGGAUCAGUCCGGUAGGGAAGACCGGUUCUAGCCCCAGAUCCCUUGCAUGCAGCAGCCGCCUGGAGUUGGAUAAUCGUGGGAUGAAAAGAACAAUUGAUGAGCGAUUCAUAUGACAAAAUCAUGCGAUGUUCCUGUCUUUCAUCUGAUUUAGCUAAGUCCUGACACUUUCGAGGAAACUACCAUAAUUCUCUCAUCGCCUCAUCAAAUUCAGAGGAAGAAAGUCUACUUACCACCGUGGCAGCAAACGGAAGCAUAUUUUCUGGGGUCAUGUUCAUACACAGCGCUGCAAGAACGAGAACAAAAGUAAAGCACGUCAAGGACUUCAUAAGAGAGAAUCGAUGCAACAGCACAUUUAUAAGUUGAUGUGGAGCGUCAUGCGGUGUCUCACUCCGCCAUAUCAUACUUUGUAUUUCACAAUUUGGGAUAUCUGCAUGAUGAUCUUCAGGAUUAUGAUGUACAUUGUCAUUUAUUACAUGACAGCAUGUGAGUAAUGGGAAAUGGUUAGUUAAAAUAUGGAGUGAGCAACCAAGUUCUGUUAUACUGAUGUGAAAAUGACGCAUAAUUAACUGCCCAAACAAAUGAAGAGUUUCUGACUUAUGGCUAAGUGUUGGAAGGUGUGAUCCAUUUUCUCUAAACUACUAUUGCUUAACUGUGAAGAAAGAGGAAUCAAGAAAAAUGACCAAUUAGAACCAAGCAACAUAAAGCUUGCAAACUAGAAGAAUCCUCAAUGGCGGUGGCUACAAAAUUGAAGAAUAGAAGUUUGAGUAAAAGUCAAGAAAAGAGGCUGAAGAAGAAACCUGAACGUGGGCAACAAGAUGUCAAGUUGAAGAAGGAAAGGUUUAGUCAAAAGUUGAGGUCAACUAUCUUGGAAAAGAAAAAAAAAUUGUGUGCUACUAUGUCGGUUGUAAUUGCCUAUAAAUAGUCUCGUAGGUCAUCAUUUGAGUGUGUGUGAAGUGAACUUUCCACCGUGAGAGGUUUAAAUCUCCACUAUGUGUGGAGGAUAGAGCUUAGAUAGUUUCUAUACCAUGAAAUACUCCUUCAUUACCAAAAUAUCUUGUACUACCCAUUUCCAUCAAUUAGAUAAAUUAUAUCCUAGGUUCUUUAUCCUUGAACUAUCCUAUCUUGUCACUUGUCCAUUUCUCGGCUCCUUUGCCAUAUUUCUCACACACACACACUCGAUUCCGCAAAAUCCAACACUAAGCCUACCAUAAAGAAUAGCUCCGAUGAAAGCAUCGCCGGCCACAGUUGUGUCGACUAGUUCUGAUGGCGGUAACCUUUCAGCAGUACACACGAACAAUCUCCCCGUCAAUGUCCCAAUUCCGUUUGCUUUCAGUUUCACCACCUCCUGACAGGGAAACAAGUAGUCGUUAAUUUGUGUUUCAAUGGAAACGUUGCAAACCAGACAAUGUCAUGCAUUUCCAAGCUAGAACAAUAAUUUAUCAGUGUCAUGUGCUUCUAAAACGGAAAGUACUAUAAACUAUCAGAAACUGCCGAGCUGCCUUUGAGCAACAACCGAUAUGAAGCCCCCGAAUCUGCCAAAAUAUUUUUCUCCCCCAACUACACCUAAUGAAGGAUGUAAUCAGGACAAAACAGAAAAUGAAGAGAUUUCUUUGCUGGUUGUACUGUAGUAGUAAAUGGAAGCCCACCUUCCAUCCGGGGAUCAUGAGAGGGUGGAUUGUGUAAGGCAACUACCAUUCGAAGACUGCUUAUAUUGUGUUUUAAAAUCAUAUGCUAUGAUUCGCAUUGCAAGGUAUGCAACUUGGAUCCUACAUCGGUAGUAUGGGAAAUUGAUGUGUGGUUCAUAUGGCCUAGGGCUCAUCCACCUCAAUACUAGCUUUUUGGAAGUAAGAUGAGAGUUCAUAGUGGAUUUUAAAUUCAUUAGCAUAGAAGUAAUCGACUGAAUCAGGCUGCCUUUCCUAGACUGCUUUGCUUAGAAGGAUAGGGCAUGGACAAGGAUCUGCUCAUUCUGAACAACUGCAAUCCGGUUGACUGGCUAGAGGAAAAGUAUAACCAGCAUUUUCAAGAGUAGAGUUAACAAGAUAUUUGGAAACAAAUUCAAAAAACAGAUUCAGUUCAAUGCAAUGGGAGGCCACUUUUUCGCAUUCAAUUAUACAAUUGGUUGAUAGGUUCAGUCUCAUGAUCCAUUUUUUUAACUAAGUGACUUACUAUUAUCUAAAAAUUAUUAUCAGUAGAUAGUAAUUGGUAAUUGUUGAAAUUCAGCACAGAAAGAUGCUCUAGCAUCUCUAACUGGCCUUAAACACCAUAAUAACACAAACGAGCAUGAUUUUUUGACGUCGAUUAGAGAAGCACAUUACUGAUGGAAUGCACAUUGGUGUAGCCACCCUAUCAUCUUUUUUUUGCUCCAAAGAAUGCAAUAAGCUAUCAGCAUCUUCUUCUCCCAUCAGAGAAUUCUCUGCUGUGCAUAAAGUUAAAAAGUAGGCAUUAGUUGAAGGCAAUCUUUUAUAAGGGGGAAAGCAAAGUGAGAGGGGGAGUCCCCGACUUACCAUCUGAUGAUCUCUCCAGCAUUAGGCACCCAUGUUUGCCCAAAGUCACGGUUGCAAAUUUCAGUUUUGGAAAUUCAAGAAGCAUGGAUAUAAGGGCACUGGGCAUAGAUGGUGCAUCUGUCCAAGCCUGUGGUACAUAGCAAUCAUGUUGCAUUGAGAGCUCAUUGACAAAAUGAACAGCCAGUAAGCACAUAAAGCGAAACAGACAUAGGCUUCAAUAAAUGGCUCGAACCCUUUAUAUCUGACAAUGUUGACCAAAUGUAGAUGUUCAGCGUGUCAAGGGUACUAGUUAACUUAUAACAAAGCAUCGGAGCAAACUAGUGGAAUAUUGAUAUAUUAUGAGCGAUACAUGUGACGUCAGGUGACAAGUUUCUUAGAAAAAAGCAUCUGGUAAACUCAACUCGGCAAAGUUUCCUCAAUAAACAAUAAUUUCAUAGCCAGAUAUCAAUUUUUUUUCCUAGCAGAUGAGAAGCGCCUUUAUCAUCUGGCCAAGAGUUCAAGAAUCAACCAUAGACAGGACUUCCCUAUAGUUGGUUUACCUGUGGAAAUUCAGCUGAACAUACGGCAUAAUCCGACAACUGAAGAAGAUCGACCAAUUCCGGCCUUUUCUUUUCUGCAUGAAGGAGAAUGGGCAUAUUUUGCCCAGCUGCCUGCAUUGACAGAUGAGAUGUAGCCUUGGAAUAUGAGUGUCAUAGAAUAUUUCCCAAACAUUUCAUGUGAGAGAAAGUCCCUAAUCUUCUGCAUCUCAUCCAGCAAGCACCAAAAAAAAUAGAAGCAAAUAAGAUGACUAUACCUCUUGGGCAAUUACUAUUGCAGUAUCUGUGUGUCUUGCAUCAAAGUAGACAAACCUUGCUCCUUCGAGUGCAGACUUUAAAUUCAUCUGGGAAAUGUCAGCCGGUUCCAUGACAAGAAAUGCUGGUGUAAAAAUGCUAGAACGCGCUCUCCUGAAAGUCUCAUCAAAGUUGAUAGCCAUGUGUGAAUGCCGGCCAUUAUGUUAGCGUCUUGUGUUGAGGGGAAAAGAUAUGCAACAGGGAAAAUAUACAGUACGAAGUAAUACAACAGGACGCUUGCCAUGUUACCCCAAGAGAUAUCCUAACUUCUGUCUCUUUUUCACAAUUUGAACAUAGUGAUUGCAGCGAGAAAUCGUAAUCCGUGUCAUAGUCCAUCAACAUUUUCAAAUAAUUUUAUAGUGCACCUGAUCCUUGAGUUCUUUAAAAUGACAAAUAAAUGACUUCCCUCCGAGGAAAAGAUGAACCAAAGCUAAGCAAAGGGUACUGAAGAUUGAACGAACCAGAAUUAGGAACGUGAAAGAAGCAUUUAUCAUAUACUAAUUUUGCCACUGAAAACCUAUAUCCCCAUUCUCGACAUCUCUAAGUGAAUGCUAAUACAAAAGAUGCUAGGGUAGUGCAGCUUAAAUGCUCAAACAGGCUCACAAAACUACAUAAAUUCUGGUCAAAUUAAGAGGGGAAAUGUUCUCACGUUGAUUGGUCGACCAUAACAAAGGAAGAUGGCGUUUGUCCAUCCUUGGCAACCUGGAGGGAAAAAAAAAAAAAAACUCUGGGGAGAAAAAGCCACUCUGGUGUACGAGAUGCAAUACCCUUCUAUGAAAACAGUGAUUAUGUGUAGGCGAAGAACAACAAGAAUUGCAUAUUUCUAAUUAAAAAAUAUAGACGCCAAUAUUAGUUUCGAAAGGACAUCGUUGUUUUUAGCUGAAGUCCACAUAGAAGCAACUGCAGAUCAGUACUUGAAUAAAAGCCUUAAAGCUGCUGAGAAGAAAGCGUUUGUUCCCCCAUAGAGGAAAAUGAUCUCUAAAUGAGUAAAAUCAGAAAUUUUUGGAUAGCAUGCUGGCCGAGAAACGGAUUUUAGCUACAGAUAAUCUGCUCCAGCUUGAUGCACAACCUAAUCUUUUUGGCAAGCAUAUGCAGAUGAUUACUUGAAGAUGCUCCCUUAAAUAGCAAGCUAUCAAUCUAAAUCUUACCACGAGAAAAGAGGUAUCUACACGAUCAGCCGUUAGCUCCUCCAGUAUUCUCUUACCGGGGAUGUCAUCAGCAAUCUAGUUAAUUUCACAAAGCAUGCAGAAAAUGUUUAGCUAAAAAUCCAAAAGCGGUCCCAUAAGGUAGCAGUCAGACAUAUGACUAGAUCAAAAUGGAAAAUUUAUAGAAGAAUUGACAGAUAUGCCAGCCAGUAACCUUAGAUAUAAGCCUCGCUCUCACACCCAGACGAGCCAAACAAGUUAAAGCAUUCGCUGCUUCCCCAAUUCCUUGAACCUAACAGUAGACAAUAGAUUUAAAUGUUACUUCAGAAAUCUGAUUGUCUAAGAGCAUCAUUUUUGGCGGACGCGUCUCUUAAAUGGCAUCAACAUGUAUGAGGAGUGGUUGGACUGAUCAAAACUAAUUAACAUGAUGGCGAUGAGCGAAGAACAUGAAAACAGAUUUCCUCCUACUGAUAUCUUAUCUUGGGACAAGGACGCUAACGCUGCUGUUAUAACCUUUUUCGAGAACAAUCUUCCCUGCGACAAUCUGUCAGCUCACGUACUUAAGAAAAUACCGUACCUGGGGAAGGCCAAAAAACAAAUUUAAAAAAAAAAAAAUCACAGCCAAGGAAAAUGACGUACUUCCACGCUCCUGGAUUGAAUUCUGUCACCAGGCACGGGUAAAGCGGGCACAACAGCCAGGUCAUCCAGACAAAUCCCGCCGAAUCCCACCUGUGUUUCCAAACAAAGAGAUCAAUCACAUUUGAGGAAGUUCUUUUUGUGUCUUUUCUUCAAGAAUGUGAAGAGAGGUAAUGAACUUUUUGUGCCCUGCUUGGACGUGGGCAUGAACGAGCAUUCAUGCAAAUAGAGUGUGUGACACAGACGUACAACGAGGCAUUGCUCAGGCGAUGGAGGAAGAGAUGGGGAGGACAUGAUGAUGAUUGAGUUGAAACAAGAAUAGCCAAAAGAUCAGAGAGCCAAGAGCUAAAGAGAGACUGCCGUGUGAGGGAAGCAAAAUGCUAGACUUUUUUAUACGCAAAUAUUCUAGAGUGGGAAAUCAUGAUCAUGAUCACUAGUCAACAAAGUUGAUGUCAUUCUAGUCAGAAGUUGAUAAAGGUAUUGCAUUUAAGGUCUAAUAAAUGCAAUGAGUAGCUAAGCACGUGAAAUGCUAUUGGAUUCAUUAAAGAAAGAGAGAAUCGAACUUGUUAUUGAUUUAUGACAUUAUUACGAUUGGACCAAUAACAUUUAGGUUCCCAAUUGAUUCGAAAUAGGCAAUUCUUUUGCUGAAUCUCCAACGAUUGGUGCAACGUUGCAGAGCUGUACGAUGCAUCGAAUGAAGCGGCUUUCCAAUUGCAAGUAUCUUGCUAGGGUUACAAUGAUGGGCUCAUCACUUUCAAACCUUCAAGUUUAUUAUUAUAGCUCAGAUCAAAUACUCUAUAGUAGGUGUGGGGCUCUUAUGAUAUCACCGAAAAGGGUUGCCAACUAAUAGCCUUCUCUAGUGUGUCUAAUCUGUCAAAAACAAGAAUAUGAAUUCCUUGAAAGGGGCCAAAGAAUAUAUAUUCCAUGCACUUAUGAAUAAAUUUAAUUUUCAUUUUCAAAAAUGAAAUUGCAUUCCUAUAAUUAAUUUAAUUUAAAAUGAAUUGAUGUUAGAUUAGACUCAUCAAUUAUAGUUGAAUAUUAGUAACCAAUAGGACAACGGAAUGAACAGAGUAAUUCUGAUAAACUAAAUAAAAAGAUGGUCCUCAGAAAGCUAUUAGCAGGAUUUUUGCAACUCUCACUCUGUUCUGUUCCCAUCAAAUGGAUAAGCCAUUGUAACUUCUUCCAUCCAUCGAAUUGGUCGUCGCUUUGGGAAAGGGAAUAGCACACGGUUCCUUUCAAGUAGGCUCGGACAGUAGUCCCGUUAGGACACAAAAGUCCCCCUGACACCGCGUGGUCGCUCACUUUGGAUGAAAGAGAAUCAAAAUGAAGGAACAAAGGACAUGAAAAGUCAAUAGGCUCUCUUGGGGUUUUCUAGCGUAUUCACUCGAGAUCAAUAAAGAGCCCGCCUUCCCCCACACUUUGUCUCCUUCUUAGGAUUGAGUGUAGGUUUUUGGCGCCAAUCUUUUGUAUAUUGCCUUAGCUUUAUUUAUAUAUUUAUUAUCUUUACCAAAAAAAAAAUAAAGAGCCCGCCUUAUUUGACGAGUGUCUCAUCUUAUUGAUCCAUACAAAAGCAGUUGAAAUCAAUCCAUAAUAAAGUUUGAAUUUUUGUUACCAAGUGUCUCAUCUUAUUUGAAGGCAUUGAUUGCACAUAAUACAGGAUCAAUCGGUACAUCAGAUACUAUAAAUUUUCCUUAAAAGGUUUGCUAACAAGUAUUGAUAGGGCACUCUUUAACAAAAUCCUAAAAAUCUCAUUUUGUGUUUAUCAGAUUAAGUGACGUCCGGAGUGACUUUGGCACACCUAAAAUGAUUGAUCUUCGGAGGCGAUUUUAAGGACACACUUCCAUAUCAGCUUGGUGCAUUUGCGAUAUUACUCUUGAAGGGCUCCUCGUAAGGCUCGAACUUAUGCAAAUUCCCAUAUUAUCUAGACCAUAACAGAUUAUUCCAACGGUGUGGGUGUCAAUAUUGAGGAGUGGGAAAUUUCCACCCACUUACGAACUUUAUAGACCGUAAAAGAAAGAUCCAUAGAUGUCCUUUUGUUUCUUUUCCUGUGACUUUUCGAGCUAAGUACUCGGCGCAUUUGACCCCAGAUUACUUUGAUUAUACGUCUCGUCUUCCUCAAAACGUUCAAUUUAUUGGCCACUCGCAGGUGGCAAAGACGAGCGUCGAGCGUCGAGUGGGAAGUCUUUCUUUUGUGCCGACCAAAUAAAUGAAGUGGGUAUCCGGUGAGGCAAUAAUGAUGAGACCGGUCAAUAAAUGUCCCGAAGAUUUAGGGGAAAGCUCUAAUACCCCACUAUCGACCAUGCAUGGCAUUAUUCCUUUGCAUUGAUAUCAUAAAAAGUCUCAAAUUUAUAUAUCUUUAACAAAUUUACCUUAAACUAAUUUAUUAAUCAUAAAUAAUCUCAAAUUAGUACAUGUGAUAAAUUUACACAAAAAAACUCAGAUUAGUAUAUUUGCGAUAAAUUUACCAUCCAUUAGUUUUUGUUAUAAAAUGUCAUUUGCUUGACAUGAAGUGCGAGCAUGCGUCAUAUUAUAUGAUGACUACCUAGACGACUUAGUAACAUACAAAUCCCAAGAUCUCUAGGUGUAACUUGGGAUCGAAUCCAUAUGGACUUCACAUACAUCAACAAGGUGGAACAUUGUUGGAAAAAAAAUGUUUUCGGGGUUCGUCAGUACACUCUACAAUGGGUACACUUACACAUAGCAAUCUUCAAUAACUGAUAGGCAGAUAAAUUACGCUGAUGGAAGAUUAGCAAAUACGUAUAGACUUAGUUAAUCAUAUAGCAGGCACAAAUCUUUCAAUUGAUUUAAUCAAAUUUCAAUUUUGCCUUUAGAAGCUUUCCAAUGCAUUUUUCACUAUAAGUUUAGGACCUGAUUACCUUUUAGUAAAAACUGAGGACUUAAUUACAUUUGAAAGGUUUAAGAUUUUAAAUUACACCUUAUGCUAAAAGUUUAGGGCCUGAUUAUACCAAUCUAGAAGUUCAGAACUCGAUUGCAUUCCAUAAAUAACAUGUAGGACUUACAGUGCACUGUCGCCCGAUGUCGCCGAACCAGAAGUGUCUACAUUGGUUGCAUCUUCUUCUUCGAACACAGACAUUCAACCACAUAUUGAUACCAUGUCAGCAUACCGUAUGUGACCGUCACUCAGAAGAUUCUCCAUUUGAUUUCGAAAAAUUGCCAGUCUGGCCUAAAUACGAAGCCAAACGUGGAUCAACCCGGUAGGGAAGACCAGUUCUAGCCCCCCAAUUCCUUGCACCCGGCAGCCGCCUAGAGUUGAAAAACCACGCGAUGCAAAAAGAACAACUCAGAAGAGACUAAAAUGACAAAUUUAUGUGGUAUUCCUAUCUUAAAUCUGAUUAAUUAAGUUUAGACACUCUUUUUAGGUAGCAACUGUAAUUCUCUCGUCACUUCAUCACUUCAAAGGAAGAAAGUCUACUUACCACCGCGGCAGCAAAUCGAAGCAUAUUUUUCGUGGGCAUGUUCACACACAACGCUGAAAUUGCGAAAAUAUAAUCCCCCAGUUACACCUAACAAAUGAACUGAUUGGGACAAAGCAGAAAAUGGGGAAAACUUCUCUAUUGAUUGUACCGUAGUACUAAAUUGAAACACGGCUUCCAUUCGGUGAUGAUGGAGGAAGGUGGUUUGUGCAAGGCAACUACCGCGCGAGAGUCCGAGACUACUCAGAUCGUGUUUGAACAUCAUAUGUUUAUGAUCCUAAUUACAAGGUGUACUGAUGUGUGGUUUAUCCGGCCUUGGGCUCUCCCAUCUCUAUAACUAGCUUUUGGGAAGUAAGAAGAGAGUUCAUAGUGUAUUCUGAAAUCAUUAGCAUAGAAGCGUUGGACCAAAUCUGGCUGCAUUUCCUGGACUAGUUUGCUUAUAAGCAUAGAGAAGUGAAGUGGACAAUGGCUAGAGGAAAAGUAUAACCAGCAUUUUCAAUAGUAGAGUUAAGAAGACAUCUGGCAACAGGUUUGAGAAAGAGAUUCAAUUGGAGGCAGCUUUUUCCCGAUUGGUUGUGCAAUUGAUUGGUAGGUUCAAUUUCUUGAUCCAUUUUUUUACUUAGCGUCUUUCCACGAUCCCAAAAUUAUUAUCAGUAGAUGGUGAUAGUUGCAAUUUACGGAAUGCUGUUCUAGCAUCUGUAACUGGCCAGAAACACAAUAAUAACACAGGAAGCAAGCUUCUUUGACAUCGAAUAGAGAAGCACAUUACUGAUGGAAUGCACGCUGCUCUGGCUUCACUAGCAUCCUUCUUUUGCUCCAAAGAACGCACUAGGCUAUCGGCAUCUUCUUCUCCCAUCAGAGGGUUCUCUGCUGGAAAUACAGUUACAAGUAAGCAUCAGUUGAAGGCAUUCUCGCAUAAGGGGGCCAAAAAGUAAUGGCCGGAGUCCCAAACUUACCUUCUGAUGACCUCUCCAGCAUCAGGCAUCCAUGUUCCCCCAAGGUCACGAUUGCGAAUUUCAGUUUCGGUAAUCUAAGGAGCAUAAAUAUAUGGGCACUAGGCAGAGAUGGUGCCUCUGUCCAUGCCUGUUGGUAAAAAAAAAAAAAAAAAAAAAAUCAUGUCGAGUUCGGAGUUCAUUGACAAACCGAGCAGCCGGUAAGCACAUACAAUGAAAGCGGAUAAACGCUCCAAUAAACGACUUGGACCCUUUAUAUCAGACAAUAUUGACCAGAUUUAAAUGUUCAACAGGUCAAGAUUACAAGUUAAACUUACAGGAAAGCACCAGAGAAAACUCAUGGAAGAAAGAUAUAGUAUGAGUGAAACUCGCGAUGUAGUGCGGCAAGUUUCUUAGCAAAAGCAUCCAGUAAACUAAACUCAGAAAAGUUUUCUUAAUUACUUUUCUUAAUAAACAAUAAUUAGUUAGUUAGAUACCAGAUGUCUUUCCGAGCAGAUGAUUAACUUCUAUAUCAUUUGGCCAAGAGUUCAAGAAUCAAUAACAGACGGACUUCCUUUUGAUUGAUUUAUCAUUGGAAAUUUAGUCGAAGAUACCACGUAAUCAGAUAAGAAGAUGAGAAAGUACUCAUUGAUUAGAUAUCACCACGUCAUGGGCUGACGUGGCAUAUACUUUUAUACUAAAAGCCAACAAAAAUUUGACACGUGUCCAUAACCUGGCAGGCAGAUAAAAAAAUUAAAAUUGAAUUCCUGUGAUUUCUCUCUAAUCUUCCUUCUCCGUCCAUUAGGGGUGUGUAUCGUCCGGGUGGGCGAUUCCCUGCCUAGAUCGGGAACCACCCAUUAAGGGCCGGUUCCGAAAAAUUGAAAUUGGGAACCAUCCAUUAGUUGCAUAAACAGUCCAGUUCUCAGUGGAUCCAUGGAGUCGGUUUCACCAAUAAUAAUAUCGUUUUCUAAACCCCAUUGUGAGUACUCUUCAUAUUGAGUAAUACACAAGAAACCGGAAGCUACAACAACUAGAAAUCAAAACAUAAUGUUGAAAGUGAAAGAAAGUACAACAAAUUAUAAGUCAAAAGCCACAACGGCCAUCAAGUUAAUCACAUGAGCUCCACACCAUCUCAACGACACAAGUCCAAAAAAUUAGACCAAACCAAAUUUAGGUAGGUGGAACAAACUCAUCAAGUAAAGUAAAUUAGACAAGUUUAUACUUUACAACAAAAUUUGCCUAAGAGUUCAUGACUUGUAAAGCUUAUGAAUCCCAAGUUUUGAGCUCUUAAAUUCCUGAAAGUAAAACAAUAAUAAGGGUGUGUUUGUUUUGCGAAAAACAAUUUUCAGAAAAAACGUUUUCCUCAUUUUCCAGUGUUUGGUUCAUUUAAGAAAAUGAGUUAACGGAAAAUAUUUUCUUAGUUAACGGAAAAUGUUUUCAUUUUAAAGCUUAAAUUCAGGAAAACGAUUUUUCUUUUGAAAAAACCGGAAAACGUUUUCCAAAAUAUUUUAAGGUUUUUGCUUAAUGAAAAAUUUAUUUUCUAAUUAAAAAUUUUGAAUUUGUUAUUAUUAUAUUUUUUCUUUUCUUUCUUCUUUCUUUUUUUUUCUUAUUUUCUUUUUUCUUUUUUGGCCAGCGAACAUAAACCCUAACUCCUCCUCCCCUCUCUCCUUCUCCUUCGCCCCCUUCUUUUCGUCACUGCCACCUCCUCCAACCCUAGCCCCUCCUGCGUGUUGGCUUCGCUCCCUCCUCUUCCUCUUCGUCGGCAUCUUCUACACCUUCAAUCAUUUUUCAAAUACAACCCAAACACCCGAAAAUAUUUUCAGUCACAUAUCACCAAACAAAAGAAAACUAACCGUUUUCCUGGAAAAUGGUUUCCCGAAAAACAUUUUCCAAAAACAUUACGUUUUCCAUGAAAUAAACACACCCUAAGUAGAUGAUUGCUCAACAUCAGUAGAAAUUGAACUCAAACAAUUAUUGAAAAUCUUACCAUAUAUAUUCCUCCCACUUCAAUUUGUAAACUCUAUAAACCGGUAAUAUUCGUAUUAACACAAUCCAUAUCUAACAUGCAUAGGAUGCAAUGGCGGCCGAUGAGGCGGAUGCGGAAGCGGUGGCGGCGGCGCGGUUCGUCGGACGGCGGGCUCCGUCAUCCAUCAAAGAGAGCGAAGGGGAGAGCAGCCAGGUGAGAGUCAAACGAAAAAAUGGGGAGAGAGAGAAAGUCUCGUGCUCCGUUCAAAUUUACCGUGGGAGAGGAGUGUCUAUCGUGGGGCUUAGAGAGAAAUUCUUCAAAUUGACGGGGAGGGAAAGUUUUCUGGUGGGGCCCGGCAGAGGAGAGAGUUGAACAUUUUCUUUACCAAGGAAAGGAGUGGCGACACGUGUCGUCCGGUGAAUGGACUCAUAUGAUAGUCCGAACUCCACCUAAUAUUUUAUCGCCAAUAUUUUAUCCUCAGCCAAUCCAGACAAGUCCCACCAAAUCCCACCUGCGUUUCCUAAGGUACAAUCAUCAAUCCAUUUGAGUUUUUUUUUUUUUUAUCCUUCGAGAAUGUGAAGAGAGACAAUAAACUCUCGUGAAGAGAGAUAAUAAACUCUCUGUGCUCUGCUUUGGGCAUGAAUAAGCUCGCAUGCAAAGAGAGCGUGCGGCACGGACGUACAACGAUGCAUUUCUCUAGUGAUGGUGGAAGAGAUAUGGAGGACAUGAUUGAUGUUUUUGGGCAUUGAAACGAGAGUAGUUAAGAGAUGAGAGAGCCAAGGGUGAAGUGAGAAGAGAGACUGUUUUUGAGGAGGGAAGCACAAUGCUAGGCUUUUUAUAGUUUCUUUUCCUUUGUUUUCCAUGAUGCUUCCUUUUGUGAACCCUCAUGAUCUGACCUUUAAUAUUUAAGAGGAUAAGUUUUAUGCAAAUGGUGAAUAAUAACUAUUGGCAGGACCCAUCCUGCAAACUCAAUUAGAGAAUAGCCAUCGCAUUGCUAUGUUCAAUAUGUUCUAUUUCAUUAUAUAGAUAUGUCAUUUUGACUUCUUCCAUUCAUCAAAUUUGAACGUCACCUUAGGGAAGGGAAUAGCGCAUAUUACCUUUCAAGUAAACUUAGACAUUAAGAUUAUGACCAAAAAAGAAAAACAAAAAGCUCAGACAUUACGAGACAGAUAUCACCCUACCAUCACGUGGAGUAUAUUUGAUUGAUGUUGGAAUAGAGGAUGUUCUCACUUUUGAAGUAUAAGGAGCAAAACGAAGGACUGAAGCACAUAAAAAGUCAUUUGGUUUUUUUGGGAAUUUUCAUGUAGCGAAAGAGUUUACCGAACUACAAAAGUAAUAAAACCAAUCCAAAAAAAUAAAGAUUGAAGUUCUAUUAACAAAUACGACUAGGGCAUUUAUUAAGUACAUUUUAUGAUAAACAAUUCAAUUUUCGAGGCAUUGGUCAAGCAUAACCUAGCAAUAGUCACUACAUGGAAUACUGUAAAAUUUUCUUAAUGGUUUGUUAAUGUACCCAAGAGCAAAAUUUUGGGUAUAGUGUGUCCGGUGGUGUUCGGUACAAUUUUCACGCAACUUGACUAGUCUAUCUCAAAAUUAAAAAACUUGAACUCAAUGUUACAAGAGAAGGAGUAAACUCCUGUACCAUCUGGACCUACGCAUUGUUGGAAAAGUCCUAAAGAUUUGUCCAAGAGCGUAUAUGUCAAUCUCGAGGGCCACCUGAAAUUGCUAGCCACCGGCGGACUUCAUAAAGGGCAAAGAAAGAUUCAAAGACGUCCAUUGCUUUGGCUUUUUGGGUCAUUAAGCAGAGCAUGCUUUAACAAGGAAGCACUGCUACUGGUAAUUAAGUAAAGCUGAAAUGAAUCUGAAUUCAGUAAAGCCAGCACGUUAUUAACCAUUUUCGUUGGUCCAACUUUAGGAGAGACACAUAAUAGACUCCCGCAAUUAUUUCUUGAACUUGAGAAUAAAUUAAGAUGCCCCACGGAUACCGUGCAUUCACAUUACAUAGGAAUGAAACCAUCGAUGUUUAAUCUCGAUUGUAAAUCAUUUUUUCCCCUUCGUACACAACCGAUUAAGAGGGCAUACUGCCUAUACCUACUAAACUAACCCCAAAGAUCGAUUCAAAUGAAAAUAUAAAAAGGAUGGCAUUUGAACGAAUCGAACGUCUCCUAAUACAAUUGGUUAUUGUUUUCUUAGCAAAUAUUUUUCAACCAGUUUUUUUUCCCCUUAAAAGUAAUUCUUGCUCAUAAGAUUCCACAAAUCAGGUUAGACGUGACAAUUGGAGGAGCUGAUGAAUAAAGAGUAGACAGCUCUUGCCUCCCUUAAAACCCUCUUUCGAUUGGCCAACUUUCAGAGGAAAAAGACGAACGUUGAGGGUAAGUCUUGCUUUUAUGCCGACCAAGUCAACAAUGUCGACGGUCUGUGGGGGGAACGAAAUGGCGCCAUGAUGACUCAGUUACGAGACUUGCGCUGCAAGGAUCGCCUACGUGUUUCCCAUUGAAUCAUUCUCCCACCAAGGAAUUGCUACAAAGCUUUGAAUGGACAAAAACCAACCACGUACAGCAUCAAUUUUUGUCGAUCUCUGGGAUAACGUGCCUUUCGUGGAAAACCAAGAAAAGUUCUUUUCCUAAGCUUGGUGGUAUAAAGACACAAAGCAUGUAAUGAUUGAGAUCUUUUCCUAAGCUUAAUUUCUAGUGAUCUCUAAGAUAACGUUCCUUUCGCCGAAAAAAAGAAGAAAAAAAAGGCUCUUUUCUUAAGUUUGAUCGUAUAAAAAGACUAAACGGGAGAUGAUUAAGCUCUUUUCCUAAGCUUAAUUUUGGUUGAUCCCUAGAGUAAUGUUUUUUUUUUUUGAUGCCGCAUUCCCUAACUUUGAUCGAAUAAAGAGACAAAACAUGAGAUGAUUCUGCCCCGAGCUCAUUUUCUAAGCUUAAUUUUUGUUGAUCUCUAGAAUAAUGUUUCUUUCGCGAAAAAUGAAGAAAAUCUAUUUUCCUAACUUAACCCAAUAAAGAGAAAACAUGAGAUGAUCCCCCCCUUUCCCCAAAGGCAAAGUCCUGAAAAUUUUGGCAAAUUAUUUUAAAACUCUCCAAGCCAUCGACAAAGAUAUGUGAGGUCAGGUCGUAUUUGAGUAAGUUGAAAAUAGGUCCGACCUAAAUUGAUCCUAUUUUUAUUGUAAUGCAACUUUAGCGAUCCAUAUUCGGCCCGACUCGUAUUACAUUAGGGUCAUCAAGUGAACACGUUCCUUGGAUAAAAUAUUCCUUCAAAUAAGAAAAAAGUAAACAAAAUGAAGUGACGUUAGUAAAUAAAAUAAUUUUUUCUAAAAAAAAUAGAACUUGAAAAAGCUUAUAUAAAACUAAAAAGUCUGCAUGUGUUAUGAUGACACAUACUCUGAACGUAUGCUUUAUUGAUCCAAGUCAAUUAAAUCCUUUUCCGAUAGUUUGCAUCAAAUUCCACGGCCUAAUUAUCCCCUCAAAAAAUUCGUUGACUAGAAUGGGAUCGACGAUCUACUUCCAUCACGGGCGAUGGCCAUCUUCAAUCUGGAAGGAUCUAAAGCUGCCGAAGAAUCACCCAAGGCUUGGGCGAUUUUUUUUUUUUUUUUUUUUUUUUUUUCAGUCCUACUCUAUUCUUACUCUACACUCACUCUUAGACUUCUGCCCUACCUCUUGCAGAGCGUGGGAGUCGAAACCCACUUCUGAAACUUACGCGUCCCCACCUUAUCCCCCUAAGAAGGUGGUGAUUUGAACCCCUCACCUUCCCCUUCCAUGUUGGAAGGAAGGCCACUGGGGUGAAUCCCAAUGAUUCUUGGGCGAUACUUGAAAGUGGUUUUUCCUUGAACCCACUAAAACCCAUUAUUAAUUAGACUUGGUUCUGUUAGACCCAUUCUGAGCAAUUUUUAAAAUCUUAAGCAGCUCAUAUAUCAUCCAACUAAAGAAUUAAAAUAUGGGUGCGUGACUCAUUUUGCCACCAUUCUCAAUUUAUUCCUUUCUCAUCUCUUGAGAAAGGAAAUUGAGAUAUUGUGAAAUAAUAUCUAUUUAGAAAAUUAACCUAAUAUUGGUUGUGGCUCUCAAGAGAUUUGUUCGUUUAAAGUUAGAGUUCGCAUGAUAAUCAUUUAUUUUUCUAUUUCUCCCUUUUUAUGUUCCCAAACCAGGUUUAGAACAGAAAUCUAAUUAGUAAUAUCAUUUUUUUUUUUUUAAAUUUUGAACAGAUUUUAAUUCCAAAAAUAAAUUUGGAAUAGACAUCAAUGGCUAAAAUUUUUAAUUUUUAUAUUUCUGAAAUAAAAGUGAAAAAUGAAAAUUCUUCUAAUCGUUCAUUCUUAUCGCUACCCAUGUUAGCUACUGCCCGUUGCCGCCUGUGGGACCGGUGGCUAGCAAUGGACGGUGGACGCCCAUUGCUAGCCACCGGUCACCGGUUGCCCACUGCCUAUCGCUGAAUACUUGUGCUCGCCGCCCACCUCCCCACCUAUUGGCCGCCUCCAACCACCAUUCGGAAGGGAGAAAUUUUGUAUUGUUAUCAAACGAAUUUUUAUUUCAGAAAUAGAAAUUUUGUAAGGUUAUCAAAUGUGUAUUUUUGCUCAAAAACUUGUCCAGUGAAUAGAAAUAUAAAAAUUAGGCUGCGCAUGACAACGUUUUUUGAAAUAGAAUAGUUAUCAUUCAUGCCUUAAAUUUUCCUUUUGAUUCGCUUUAUUUAUCACGGAAGUAAUAUUUGUGAAAAAGAGAGGGAAAAUAUCGUGUGUGCUAUCUAAUUUGCAUGUAUAGAACCAGGUACCAGAAGCACCAUAUCAUAUCUCGAUCUUUAGAAGAGCAAAGCAACCUUUCUUUGGGGAGACGAGAGGAACAGAUCUUUUCUCUUCGUUAACAGAGAAGCUAAUGCGCACCUUCUCGGAUAUCCAAUGCAUUUGGGCUGCUUCGCUAUGAGCCAAGGCAGGUGGGACAUGGAUUGGAUUUGUGUUCGUUGUAAGCCGACUAGAAAUCAUCAUUAAUUCGGCUUUGCUCUAUUAGGCCCAUUCCAACCUAUAUUUUAACAUCCCAACUAAAUUAAAUACGAGUUAAAAUAUGCAUCAUGACCCAUUUUUCUACCUCUAAUCACGAGAGACGAAAUGUCUUUUUUUUUUUUUUUGUGUGGGUAUGUCGUAGUGCAUAAUUCUCCCACUUGCCCCUCCCUAGUGCACUGGGUACAUCCAUGUCAUCCGAUUAAACUGUUUUUGUCCUAACUUAAUGAAUCUUUCAUGCUGAUGUCCAUGCUUAAGGUGAUUCUCGUCACUGAUUAGCUGAUCAACCUUCACGUUGAAGAUCGGAUUAGCUUGAUCUACUGGGGCUUGUACAGCAGACAAAUGACUUGAUGCUGGAAUCGGUGGCAACAUUUAAGCACUCACCAAUGAAAUAAUGAAUAAAGGUACUGCAUUCAAGGUCUAAUGAAAGCAAUGACUAGCCAAGCACGUGAAAUGCUAUUGGAAUUCAUUAAGAAAGAGAAAGAAUCGUACUUGUUAUAGAUAUAUGACAUUAUUACGGAUAAACCAAUCACAUUUACGGUUCCCAAUUAAUUUGAAAUAGGCAAUUCUUUCACCGACUGUACACCAGUUGGUGCAAUGUUGGAUACCUACAUGAUACAUCGACUGGAGAGGCUUUCCAAGUGCAAGUAUCUUGCUAGGGUUACGGUGAUCACUUUCAGGCUUUCAAGUAACUAUAGCUUAGAUCAAACACUCUAUAGCAAUUAUGACUCUUAUGAUAUCACUGAAAAGGGUUGCUAGCUGAUCACCUUCUCCGGUGUUUCUAUUCCCUCAAAAACAAGAAUAUGCAUUCCUUAGAAGGGGCCAAGGAAUAUAUAUUCCAUGCGCUUAUGAAUAAAUUUAGUUUUCAUUUUCAAAAAUGAAAUUGCAUUCCUACACGUAAUUGAAAUUGAGAUUAAUUGAUAUUACUAAGAUAUGAAUCGUAUUUAUGUUAAAUUAGACUGAUCAAUUAUAGUUGAAUAUUGUUAACCAAUAGGACAAAGGAAUGAACAGAGAAAUUCUGAUAAACUAAAUAAAAACAUGGUCUUCGAAUAGCUAUUUGCAGGAUCCACCCCACAAACCAAAAUGGAGAAUUAUCCUUGCUUUGCCACUCUCACUCUGUUCUGUUCCCAUCAAAUAGAUAAGACAUUGUAACUUCUUCCAUCCAUCGAAUUGGUCGUCGCUUUGGGAAAGGGAGUAGCACACGGCUCCUUUCAAGUAGACUCGGACAUUAGUCCCAUUAGAACAAAAAAGUCUCCCUGACAGCGCGUGGACCUCACUUUGGAUAAAAAAGAAUCAAAAUGAAGGAACAACGCAUUUGAAAAGUCAUUAGGCUCUCUUGAGGUUUUCUAAGGUAUUGAUUCGAAAUCAAUAGGCCACCGAAUUACAAAAGCAGUUGAAAUUAAUUCAUAAUAAAGGUUGAAUUUUUGUUAAUGAGUGUCUCAUGUUAUUUGAAGGCAUUGAUUGCACAUAACACGGGAUCAAUCAAUACAUCAAGUACUGCAAAUUUUCCUUGAAGGGUUUGUUAACAAGCCCGAUAGGGCACUCUUUAAUAAAAUCCUAAAAAUUUCUUUUUGCGUAUAUUGGACUAAUUGAUGUCUAGAGUGACUUUCACGCACCUCAAUUAAUCCACCUCUUGAGGCGAUUUUAAGGACACACGCUUUGAUAUCGGCUUGGUGCAUUUGCGACAUUACUCGUGAAGAGCUCCUAGUAAGGCUUGAACUUACGCAAAUUCCCAUAUCAUCUAGCCCAUUAGAGAUUGUUCCAACAGUGUGUGUGUAAAUAUCGAGGAGUGUGAAUUUUCCAUCCACUUACGAACUUACGCAAAUUCCCACAUCUCUAGGUGUAACUCGAUAUCGAAUCCAUAUAAAUCUCACAUCCAUCAACAAGGUGCAACAUUGUCAGAAAAAAAAAUGUUGUCGGGGUUCGUCGUUGUACUCUCCAACAGGUACACACAUAGCCAUCUUCCAUAAUUGAUUAGCAGACAUAGACUUAAUUGUAAGAGUUUUUCUAAUUGUGGACUAAAUUAAUUGAUAUUGUAAUUUACUGUUUUUACGGUUACCGUAAAACAUGGUUGGUCUAAGGUGAGAUAGAAUGUUUCUUAAUUAGUCUAAUAUGGGUUGGCUAGUGUGGGCCAAGUUGAGCCUAGCCCAUAAUGAGAGGGACUGGCUGGAAACUCUAUAAAUAAUGCUCAAGUCUCUCCUCUAACCCUAAUUCUCACAUGUAUCCUCACCUAAUGGGCGUUUACCUAACGCUAAACGUGAGGGAGGCCGCCUUAUUGAAUUAGUGAUACGGAGGGCAAUAGAGGAGAAUGACUUGAUGCGUGGAUCCCCUUGAUAUAUGUGGGUAAUCAUUUUUCUGCUUCCGUUUUAUGUUCGAUGGAUCCCAAAACAGGUGCGUUAAUCUUUCUACUCAAUUAUGCAUGUUCUUGUUCUGGUUAUGGAGAUCUUGGGGUUGCGCAAUUUGCGUCCAACAUGUGGUAUCAGAGUAACUAUAACCCUAGAACUCAAACGCAAUUAGUUUUGCCCUAAUUUGUACGGAUUUACCAUAAUUUGUACGGAUCUACCCUAAUUUGUAUGGAUUAGCCCUAAUUGGUACUGAUCUUGCCAUAAUUUGUGAUUUUCGAGACUUUUUGUUCAAUAAAAAUUAAAUUAAAUCACAAAUUUGGAUUGGGGGAGACGAGACGAGCAAGAGGGUUGGCGGCGCGUUGCCGGGGGAUGCCGCACGCGCCCACACGCGUAGCCUGGGCGUCGAAUGCGCGCCACGCGUGAGCCCCACGUGCCACACACUCAGGCGGCGCGUGCGGGCGCGUGGGGGCUUAUUUUGGCGUGUGGUUGGCGGCGUUGGACUCGUAUGGUAAUUUCCUAUCUUGUGGUAUAUUUAUUUUAUAUGUUUGGUGGUUUUAUUGAUGUGAAAUUGCAUAUGGAAUCCUAAAUACGUGUAUUUUUGCGUAUUUUUCUUGUAUUUUCUGUGAUUUUGGAAAUACAGGUGAUGGGUUACUAGUAUGUUAUCACAUAAUAAAAAGGUGUGAUUCAUAAAUAAAAAUCAAACUUUAUUGUGAACUGAAGCUGGCUUAAUGAGAUACAAUUCGUAUGAGAUUGUAUUUGAGCUAUGUAUUGAGCUGAUGAGAAACGGUAAAGAUUAUAAAACUUUUGUUACUCAAGUAUACUCCUUUACACACUGGUAAUCUUUGAAUGAUAGACGACUUAAGGACUCGUGACCAAACUGAUGUACUGAUUAACACAUCUACUGAAUGUGGAUAAUGCAUGUCAAUUAAGUUACUGCAUAUUGUACAUGAACUCAUCUGGUCACUUGUUAAUAUCUAUCAAGUUGAAUAUUUUUUAUGUUGUUCUGGUAAUAUGUAAUUGAGGUGCAUUAGAGAUGUUUUAUUCUCUAUUAUGAGAAGUUUCUUGUGUUACUGUGAUCAAUGAUCUCAUUGGAAUUUGUCUUUCAGGUUCGCUAUAUAUAUAUGAUUAAUUUUUUAUUAAUGAAUAAAGCAAUGUAAUUAGCAUAAUAUGUGAUUUUGGUGAUAUGAUGCCCCUAUCACUAAACUUAAAAUCACAUGUAUAUGGUAUAUGUGAGGAGUAAAGAUUAUAUCCCUGGUAUGAGAGAAUUUCAAUGAUUCAAUUUAGUAGUGACCGCCAAAGUGGCACGCUUGAUUGAGUUUGAGAAAUUUCGGUCUCGUAUGAUGAUUGGGAUGUUUCCUGAUCUAAUGCGUAAUCAUACUCCCAAAGGAGGUGAUUGUAUAUUAGUUCAUGGAGGGAUACAUGAUAGUGUGGUGGAAGAGUGACUGAUUCUAGUGAUUCAUAUGCCCAAAUGUGAUGAAUUCACGAAGAAUUGAAAUAUAUUCUCAUAAUCGCUAUCAUGUGGAGAGUGUACAACUACAUGUCAUAUAUUCUGCCCAAAGGUGAUUAUAUGAUUAUGCAUGUAACUCUCUGGAUGUGUACUUGUAUGUCAAGUUACACAGUGCUCACAUGAUGCUAAUUAUAUACAUUGCUUGAUUUUCAGUCACCUUUUCUGUAAUUAAUAACUUCAUUAUUAUUGAGAUUUUUACUGCUUCAAAUUUUAAGUUAUGGACAUAUGAUUUGUUGCUUGAGAAAAGAGCAAUAGAAUUUAUUUACUGUCCAUGAGAACACUUGAAAAUAGGUUUGCUUGUGGAUUGCAUUACUAUAAGACGAUGGAAGCCUUAGUUGCUUGAAAUUAUGUCUUGUCUGAUAUUGAAAUUAGGACACAUCUGCAAAGAUUGUGUUUAAGUCUUAAUGACAUAUACAUCUCGUAUAUGAUUAAAAAGUUGUCAGGUUUAACAGUGGCUAUGAGUAUUUUGGCAAGUAUGACAAUGCGAAAUAACUUAAAGGGUCAUUUGUCAAAUACUUGGUAGAUUCUGGGGUGGUAACUUAAUUACUAUGCCUGAAAAUCUUGACAAAAGAUUCACUUGAAAUUAUUUUGUAUCUUACCUAGAUUGUUCAAAAGGGUAUUGAUUUUAUGACCCUAAAGAAGGUACAAGAAUUAUGGAAUCACAUAUUUUAAAGUUUCUUAAUAUUUACGUAAUUAUAGAGGAUAGCUGCUAUCAGACUAUUAAAGAUAAUAGUAUGAUAGAGGUUACUAUGUUUUUGUCUUUACCUAUACAGAUAAUUAUGGAAUCUCCUGUACCAUAGACUAAACUUGUUGAGGUUCAAGAUACUAUUCUUGAUAUAGUUUAUAAUGAAAUUUCUUAAAUCUUUCAAGUGCAGAAUGAAGUGGUUGCAGCUUUAUUAAGGAGAUUUGUUAAGGAAAGACGAUCAGUUAUACCAUCAGACUAUAUAGUCUAUUUGUGAGAGCAUGAUUACAAUAUCCACUAUAUGGUUGAUGUAAGACAUAUUUAUAAAUGUCGUUUCUUAUUCUCAAUCAAGUAUGUGAUUAGAUGCCAUAAAAUGCGAUAUACAAUCUAUGAAAUAUCAUAGUGUUUGGAAACUAACUUACUUGCCUAAAGAUUACAAAUUCAUUAGUUGCAAAUUGGCGUACAAAAUUAAAAGAAUUUCAAAGAAAGAUUGUGGAAUUUAAAGCCAAAUUGGUAACUAAAGUUUUCACUCUGAAAGAUGAGUGGAUUGUUUAUAGUGAAGAAAUAAAUAUUUCUUUCUAGUAUUUUUAAAGAUUCUUUCAGAGUGAAUGUUGCAUUAAUAAUUUAUUUUGAUAUGGAGUUACGCCAAAUAGAUACAAAAUCUAUAUAGUGCAACUGAAUGAUUUUGCAGCAGAUUUAAGUAAACUUGUAUGUAGACUGAAAAGUUCUAAUUCAUGGUCUUAAGCAAGUUUCCAGACAAUAUUAUUAAAGUUUCAUAGUAUUAUUAUUUUGUUCAAUUGAGAACAAAGUAAUUCAAUAUACUGCAAGGUCAGUGGGAGGAAAUUUAUUUUUUCUCAUACUUUAUGUACAUGAUGUUUUGCUUACAAGUUGUGAUCUUGAGACAUCUUAUAUCAUUUGUACUGAGGUCUGUAAGGAUUGUUUUUGGCAUAUUAUAUUAGAUUUUAUCGGAGGACAUUUGCUGAUUGUAUAUUGGAAAUAUUCAAUAUACAUCAUUACAAGCCAGGAAUUACUCCUGUUGUUAAGGGUGAUGGACUAAAUCUAUCACAUUGUCCUUAUUUAGAUAUUGAGAAAAUCUAAUUAAAUGGUGUACCUUGUGUCAGUGCACUUAAAAGUAUAAUGUAUGCUCGAAUUUGCACUAGACUAAAUGUUGUCUUUGUGACGGGACUUCUAGGCAGAUAUCGAUCAAAUCCAAGACGCGAUCACUAGGUUGCUGCCAAGAAGAUUUAAAGGUACUUAAAGAAGACAAGAGAUUAUAUGCUAAUUUAUAGAUAUGUUCAAUUCUUACAGUUAGUAGGGUAUUUAGAUGUAAACUUUACUAGCUGUUCUGAUGACAUGCAAUCAAUAACAGAAUACAUAUUUAUGUUAGCAGUAAGUGCAGUAAAUAAAGUUUUAUGUCAUAUUCUACUAUGUAAGCAGUGUUAGUAACAUUCUUUUAGGCUGUUACUUGGGCUUUUAGGCUCCAGAACCUCAUGAAAGGAGUUGAUUGUUUUAACUUUAUGGAUAGACCCAUACGAUUGUAUUGAGAUAAUAAAUUUGUAGUAUUAUUUAUUUAUUACAGAGGUCUCAAGGGGUCUAAAUAUAUGGUGGUCAAAUAUUUUUUACCAUAAAGAAACAGUACAGAAAUGUGACUUAUAAUAUAACAUAUUUUCACAGAUGAUGUGGUUGCAGAUCCACUAACUAAAGGCCUACGCCCAUGUGUAUUUGAGUGACAUGUCAUUAGCAUGGGUCUAGGAGUAUCUUCGGAUACUGUUGUUUAGUGGGAGCUAUUUUGGCUUUACUCUAAUAAAGAUUUCAUCUGUAUUCGUUACACUUUGUAACGGUUUGAUAUAUAUCAACUUUUGUAUUCAAUAAAAUAUUUUUGAAUGUAUUGUUAUUAUGUUGAAUACAUAUUGAUAAAGUCUCAAGGGAUUGUAUAAACCUUGAGUGAAGGCUAGGGGCAUCCGGGCAUCUGGUUAUUAGCCCUGUGCAUAUGUCUGGUGAUACAUAAAGAAAGGUUAAUCAUAAGGACAAGACAUAUGUGGGUUCAUUGGAACCAUAAAGCAUUCUCUAGUGGCACAAGUUUUUGUGACACCUAAGUAAGAGAAUGGUGACUGACAAAUGGGAUUUCUCUAUGAGAGAUGUUAUCCAUUUGACACACUACCAUAUUGAAUCCAUAUCAAUAAAGUUGAGAAUAUUCGUGAUUAUGGAAGGCUCUGUGUGUAUACAUGCAGUUACCACCGUGAUUCGGUGUUUAAGACUUUAUGAGAUAGGAUUGACUAUUAAGAAUUAUCUCUGGACCAAUGUGCGCACAUACAAUACGAUUUCAAUUAAUAUAGUUCAAGUGGGAGAAUGUAAGAGUUUUUCUAAUUGUGGACUAAAUUAAUUAAUAUUGUAAUUUAUUGUUUUUACGGUUACCGUAAAACAGGGUUGGUCUAAGGUGAGAUAGAAGGUUUCCUAAUUAGUCUAAUAUGGGCUGGCUAGUGUGGGCUGAGUUGAGCCUGGCCCGUAAUGAGAGGGACUGGCUGGAAACUCUAUAAAUAGUACUCAAGUCUCUCCUCUAACCCUAAUUCUCACAUGUAUCCUCACCUAAGGGUGUUUACCUAACACUAAACGUGAGGGGGGCCGCCUCAUUGAGUCGGUGAUACGGAGGGCAAUAGAGGAGAAGGACUUGAUGCGUGGAUCCACUUGAUAUAUGUGGGUAAUCCUUUUUCUGCUUCCGCUUUAUGUUCGAUGGAUCCCAAAAUAGGUGCGUUAAUCUUUCUACUCAAUUAUGCAUGUUCUUGUUCUGGUUAUGGAGAUCUUGGGAUUGCGCAAUUUGCGUCCAACAUUGAUGUCCAUGAAAACUCGAUCAGGAAACUAUGAAGCAGUUCCCAAACGCACCCUUCCUAUCCUAUGUUUCAUUCUUUGUGGUUGUUUAAGAGAAGAAGCGAAGGAAAAAAAAAUAAGUCAGAGCCAGGACAAAGUCGAAACAUGAAGAUUUUCAUUUCUUACAAGCAAUGAUAGAUUCACACAACUUAUCACCACGAACUACAGUAACGAAAUCAGUAAAGAAAAACGUCUUCGCCUGGAAAAAGGAAACUUGCACCACAAGUCCUGAAACCUUAAUACGGAAUGCAAUUAUGGUAUAAAUUUUCAAUUGGCUCAAUCAAUACCUCAACCCAUCACUUGGUUCAACUAAAUCCUCAACCUUUAUCCCAAAAAAGAAGAAGUAGGUCCUGAGAUUGUGUUGAAAAGUGCAAGCAAGGGGUGCCACAUAAGCACUUAUUGAGUGAACAACCUUAGGUAUUGUUCACCGAAAAGUUUGAUUAUGCUUUUGGAAGAAGUUUUAGGACUUAACUGAACCGAUUAAAAGAUUUAGAAGUUGAUUGCAUUCCAUACACAACAUUAAGGACUUUCAAUGUGCUCUCCCCUCCAAGAAGAGAAUACCUUGCAAAAACCACUAACGUGAUAUCGCCAGGGAAAGUGUAGCAAAAAUCCUAAAUCUUAUGUAGGAAUGCAAAAAGGUUCCAAAUCUUUCAAUUGGUUUAAUCAAACUAUAUAAUUUAUCAUAGUGCAAUUAAGUCUUUAUUGGGAACACUCCAAGUUUGUCUUUGGCAGCUUUUGAUUGCAUUCCCUAAAAGUUCAGGACCUAAUUACAUUUUAAUAGAAGUUUAGGACUUGAUUACAUUAUUGAAAGGUCUAAGAUUUAAAUUACACUCUGUUAAAAGUUUAGGUCUUGAUUAUACCAAUCUAGAAGUUUAGUACUUGAUUGCAUUCCAUAAAUAAGGUAUAGGACUUACGGUGUACUGUCACCUGAUAUCCACCAAAACAGAAGUGUCUGCAUUGGUUGCAUCUCCUUCUUCAAACACAGAUAAUAAAUCAAAUGUCGAUACCAUGUCGGCUGCUACUUGAUGUGACCGUUACAUGGGAUUCUCCGUUUGAUUUCACAGAAUUGCUAGGUUGUUCUAAAAACGAAGCCAAACAUGGAUCGGUCCAGUGGGGAAGACCGGUUCUAGCCCCCAAUUCCUUGCACCCGGCAGCCGCCUAGAGUUGAAAAACCGCGCGAUGCAAAAAGAACAACUUAGAAGAGACUAAUAUGACAAAAUUAUGUGAUAUUCCUAUCUCUAAUCUGAUAACUAAGUUUAGACACUCUGUUUAGGUAGCAACUGUAAUUCUCUCAUCACUUCAUCAAUUCGAAGGAAGAAAGUCUACUUACCACUGUGGCAGCGAAUGGAAGCAUUGUUUCCGGGGGCAUGUUCGUACACAGCGCUGCAAUUACGACAACAGGAGUCAAGGACGUCAAGGACUUAAUCUGAGAGAACCGAUGCAUCAGCACAUUGAUAGGUCGAUGUGGUGUGUAAAGCGGUAUCUCACUCUCCCAUAUGAUACAGGGUCUUAUGAUUGACGGUUAAAUGUCUUGCGAUAUGGAGCAUGCGACCUUCUGUCCAGUUUCUGAUGGAUAAGUAAUUCGCAACUCAACAAUACUGUUGACCGUGGUCUGGCUACAUUCGCGAUAUUUGCAAGAUGAUCUCUGGGUUUAUGAUUUUCGUUGUCAUUUGGUCACAUGACAAAAUAUGACUAGUGGGAAACAGUUAGCUAAGAUAUGGAGUGAGCAGCCAAGUUCCGCUAUCCCAAUAUGAAAAAGAAGCAUGAUAAACUGCACAAUCAUUUGAAGAGUCUCUAAGUUUUGGCUAAGCCUACCGUAGAGAACAGCUCCGAUGAAAGCAUCGCCGGCGCCAGUUGUGUCCACUACUUCUGAUGGUGGUAUCCUUUCGGCAGUACACACGAAUAAUCUACCAGUCAAUGUCCCGAUUCCGUUUGCUUUCAAUUUCACCACUUUCUGACAGGGAAACAAAUAGUAUUAAUUUGUAUCCCACUUUAAACGUCGCGAACCAGACAAUGUCAUGCAUCUCCAAACUGAAACAAUAAACAGCACGGGAACAGACUUUACGUCAAGUGCAAAACCAAAUUACUGCACUAAUAGUGCUGCGUGCUUCUAACACAGAAAGUGCUAUAAACUAUCAGCACUUGCAGAGCUGCCUUUGAGCAACGACUGGUAGAAACCUGCUGAAAUUGACAAUAUAUUCUCCCCCAGUUACACCAAAUGAAUGAAGUAAUCAGACACGGCAGAAAAUGGGGAAAACUUCUCUACUGAUUGUACUGCAGUACUAAAUUGAAACAUGGCAUCCAUUCGGUGAUGAUGGAGAAAGGUGGUUUGUGCAAGGCAAGUACCGCCCGAGACUACUUAGAUCAUGUUUAGACAUCAUAUGUUUAUGAUCCUAAUUACAAGGUAUAUUGAUGUGUGGUUUAUCCGGCCUUGGGAUCUCCUAUCUCAAUAACUAGCUUUUGGGAAGUAAGAAGAGAGUUCAUCGUGUAUUCUGAAAUCAUUUGCACUUAAGUGCUUUGGCUGAAUCAUGCUGCAUUUCCUGGACUGGUUUGCUUAUAGCAUAGAGGAUUGACAUGGACAAUGGCUAGAGGAAAAGUCAUAACCAGCAUUUUCAAGAGUAGAGUUAACAAGAUUUCACAUUUUAGAUAUGCAAUUGGUUGAUAGGUUCAAUCCCAUGAUCCAAUUUUCAUAAGCGACUUUCUAUGAUCCCAAAAUUAUUAUCAGUAGACAGCAAUUGUUGAAAUUCAUGGAAUGCUGUUCUUGCAUCUGUGACUGGCCUGAGGCACAACAAUAACACAACAAGCAAGCUUCUUUGAUAUCAACUAGAGAAGCACAUUACCGAUGGAAUGCACAUUGGUAUGGCGACACUAUCAUCUAUUUCUUGCUUUAAAGAAUGGAAUAAGCUAUCGGCAUCUUCUUCUCCCACCAGAGGGCUCUCAGCUGGACAUAAAGUUACAAUUAGCAUCAGUUGAAGGCAUCCUGUAUUGGGGGGGGGGGGGGGGAAGGAGGGGCCGGAGUCCUGAACUUACCUUCUGAUGAUCUCUCCCGCAUCAGGGAUCCAUGUUCCCCCAAGGGCACAAUUGCGAAUUUCAGUUUUGGUAAUAUAAGAAGCAUGGAUAUAAGGGCACUAGGCAGAGAUGGUGCCUCUGUCCAUACCUGUUGAACAAAAAAAUCAUGUCCAGUUCGGACUUCAUUGACAAACCGAGCAGCCAGUAAGCACAUACAACGAAAGCGGACAAAAGCUCCAACAGUCGACCCAGGCCCUUUUAUAUCAGACAGUGUUGACCAAAUUUAGAAGUUCAACAGGUCAAGGAUAUAGUUAGCUUAUAGCAAAAGCAUCAGUGAUGGCCGCUAUGUAAAGCGACAAGUUUCUUAGCAAAAGCACUCAGUAAACUAAACUCAGAAAAGUUUUUUUAAUAAACAAUAAUUUGUUAGGCAGAUAUCGGCUAUUAUUUCCGGGCAGACGAUUAACUCCUGUAUCAUCUGGCCAAGAGUUCAAGAAUCAAUAACAGACAGGACUUCCUUAUGGUUGGUUUACCUGUGGAAAUUUAGCAGAACAUACAACGUAAUCGGAUAAAUCAAGAAGACGAUCCAGUCCCGGUCUUUUCCUUUCUGCAUCAAGGAGAAUGGGUAUAUUUUGCUUUGCUGCCUGCAUUGACAAAUGAGAUGUAGUCUCAGAAUAUGCGUGCUCAAUGAGAUAAGUCAAUGAACUCCCACUCAGUUCUGGACGAGGGUCACCGGCCCUUGCUGACGCCCCGGCAACCCCCCUUGGCCCUUUCCAGCCUUGAUGGGUUGGUGGCAGCCAGACCCUGCCACCAGUUUUAAUUUUCUCUUUGUUGCAUUAUUUUUUUUUCCAAAAUAAAAGUUAGUUUUUUUUUUUUUUAAUCUAGUUUGAUUAAGAUUUUGGUUAAAAAAAAUACGAUUUAGCCCAAACCGACAUCGUUUUAGUCUUAUCUUUCAUUUUUUGGCAAGUUCAAUGCUAUGUAAAAGAGAAUGAGUGUUAUGUCGGCAUUUUCCAUUAACCAAGUUGGACGAAAUUAAUGGAAGGAUUUGAUUGUACCACUUCGACAAGCUUUAUGUAUUGCACUUUUUAUAAAUUUGAUGAGUUAAUUGCACUUUGGCUAUAAGUUUUAGAAUUUUCAGUAUGUUUAUCCCAAUCAAAUAAAAUGACCAUACCUCUUGGCCAAAGAGUAUUGCAGUAUCUGUGUUUCUUGCGUCAAAGAAGACCAAAUUUGCUCCUUUGAGUGCAGAUUUUAAGUCCGAGGAAACGUCAGCCGGUUCCAUGAGAGGGAAUCCCGGUGUAAAUAUGCAAGUACGUGUUCUCCUGAAGGUCUCAUCAAAGUUAAUAGCCAUACGUAAAGGCUGGACAUUAUGUCAAAUUCUUGUCCUUGGAAAUCAUAUAGUACAGAGUAACACGACAGGACAUUUGGCAUGGUAUUCCAAGACCCAUUCUAACUUCUGUUUCUCUUUCAGAAUUUGAUCGCAAUGAAUUGCAGAGAGAAAUCGUAUCCUUGAAUUCUUAGAAAAGACAGUGUUAAAUGACUACGCUCUGAAGAAAAGAUGAACCGAAGCAAAGCGAAGGCUACUGAAGAUUGAAUGAACCAGAUUUAGGAAAAUGAAAGAAGCAUCCAUUGCCUCUGAAAAACCAAUAUCCACAUACUCGAUAUCACAAAGUGGAUUCCAACACAAAAGAUGCUACGGUAGAGCAGCUUAAUUGCUCAAACAGGCUUACAAUGCUAUAUGAAAUUCUGGUUCAAUUAAGGGUGUGUUUGUUUAGGAAAUCUUCAUCAAUGCUUUCUAAAAUCCAAUUUUUUAGGUUAGGAAAUUAAUUUUCCUAACUUUAAGCGUACUAAUUUUUUUUUUAUCGUAAAUGGUUUUUUGUUGAUCGAUAAUUAUCAGCAAACCAAACACAUGAAAGUCCAAAAAACUAAUUCGCAGAAAAUUCUUUUACUCAAAUAAACACAUCCUAAGAGAAGAGAAGACCUCACGUUGAUUGGUCGACCAUAACAUAGGAAAACGGCGUUUGUCCACCCUUGGAAACCUGGAAAAAAGGAAAGGUUUAAGGGAGGGAAAAAAAAAAUUGCUUGGGGGUACAAGAUGCAAUGCUCUUAUAGGAAGCUACUACGCCAAAAUUGGUUUCUCAGUGACAUCGUUCCUUUCUGCUGAAGUCUACACAGAAGCAACCGCAGAUCAGAACUUGAGCAAAAACUUUAAAGCUGCUGAGAAGAUUCCCCUAUAGAAAAGAAAUGAUCUCCAAAUGAGUGAAACGAGAAUCUUUUGGAGAGUAUGCUGGUGAAGAAACGGGCUUGAGCUAGAUAAUCUGCUCCAGCUUGAUGCACAAGCUAAUCAUUUGCCAAGCAUAUGGAGAUGAUUACUUGAAGAUGCUCCCUUAAAUGUCGAGGUAUCAGUCUAAGCUUACCACGAGAAAAGAGAUAUCUACAUCAUCAGCCCUUAGCUCCUCCAAUAGGGUCUUACCAUGGAUGUCAUCCGCAAUCUAGUGAGUUCACAAAGCAUGUAGAAAAUGUUUAGCUAAGAAUCCAAAUGUGGUCCUCUAAGGUACCGGUCAGACAUUUGACUAGAUGAAACUGGAAAUUUUGCGGAAGAAUUGACAGAAAUCCCAACCAGUUACCUUGGAAAUAAGCCUUGCUUUCACACCUAGACGAGCCAGACAUGUUAAAGCGUUCGCUGCAUCUCCACCUCCUUGAAUCUGACAGUAGACAUUGGAUUUAAAGAUUACUCCAGAAGUCUUAUUGUCUCAAAAGCAUCAUUACUGGCAUACAAUUUUGUUGUGACAUCGACAUGAAUGAGAAGUGGUUCGAAUGAUCAAAACUGAUUGAUACAAUCGUAGAUAAGCGAAGAAAAAGAAAAUAGAUAUCCUCCUGCUGAUAUCUUUUCUCUGUUCAAUCCUAGCACUUCUUUUCCAGGUUCGUCACCUUCCAACAUCUAUAUUACGAAGCAGAAUAACAUGUCGCAUGUAACUUCUUAUAGUUAAAAUGUCUGAUUAGGUUGGAGCCCUACUUCAAGAGCACUAUUUGUACUUCAUCCUGUGUGAAGAAUCAAAUGUAUGCUCUGCAUCAACUACACAAAUGCUCCGGCCAUCUUCAGAACACUUUCACUUAUGGAAAAGGACGACAUUGGUAUCAUAACUUUUAUACGGUGCCUACUUUUAUGCUAGAACAUUUCCAACAAUCAUUUAAGUAACACAACUUUUAAAAAGUCAUCAUUUGAGUGACUCUGUGACUUAACUGCGUCUCAAAAAUUUUGGCGGUAAAGCGAUAGUUUCUAAAGUUUUUGCACUAAAUUGAUCAUUUAUAAAACUUUUGAUCUAAAAUUUUUAAAAUUAGAAAUUCAACAAAAUAAGAAGAUGAGGCAAAAAAAAUCACAAGGCAAAUUUUUCUAUCUUUGCCAAUAUUUUUCUUUGUUUGGUUAGACUCAAAAGCAAAAUCAUCGAGCAAACAUUUUAAAAUCACAACGACGUAUUUUCUCCUUCAAAAAGAAAAAGGGAAGUGAGUGCAACUUUCUUCGCCUCUCGGUAACUUCGUAUUUGUUUCUUGUUUGACCUUGCUCUGCUUUGAAAUAAAACAACAGAGCUAGGAGCCUUAUGCAAAUAUUAACUGCCAGGAUCACUGCUAGGGAAUGUUUGGGAACCAAUUUAAAGCAAGUUCUCAUCUUGUGAAAAUUUGAUAUAUUUAUUGACCUUAUCUGGUGCAUAAGUUACGCACCUCACAAUUUUAUAAAGUUUUGUGCCAAGACCUUAGAAAUCAUCACUUUAAUGCCAACACUCUAUGAACGACCAACUCAAUGUCAAAAACUUUUUAAAAGCAAUUAUUUAAAUGACUGAUGAAUCACGUUAAAUUAUCGCUUAAAAAGUUUCGACAUUAGAAUAAGCGCCGUACAAUAGUUAUGGUACUGAUACCGUCCUCUUCCCCCUUCACUUCUCACGUCAGGCAAUUAUCAAUGACUUCUCUGCAGAUUUGGGGCUCCUUCGGCAUGAGCUCCCGUGGAGUUCUCAGUCAAUUGAGCCUCCUUAUAAGUUACAAAGAACACUGGACGACACAAGUGCAAUCUUCCCAUGCAACAACCAGUCAGCACACACUUAAUAAAUAAAAUAAAAAGGCGCAUAGCCGUGAAAGGGCUGAGGAUAAGAUUAGGAAGAAAUCAAAGAGGAAAGAAAAGGAAGUACUUUCAUGCUCCUGCAACUGGUUUUGUCAUCAGGCUUGGGGAAAGUUGUAAGAACGGCCAAGAAAUCCAGACAAAUCCCACCGACUCCCACCUGCGUUUCCCAACACACGAUCAUAAAUCACAUUCGGGGAAACAGGUUUUUCUUUCUUUCUCUUUUCGUUUGUAAUGAACUCUUUUUGUGCUCUGUUCAAACGUGGCAUGAACCGGGGAUGUAUUGCAAAAAAAGAGUGGGUGACGCAGACGUACCACGAGGGGUGGCUCUUGCGACGGCGGGAGAACCCUGGAGGACAUGAAUGAACCACGGUUUGGGCAAAGAAACCAGAUUAAUCGAAAGAGACGGGCGACGUGUUGAGUGGGGAAGCAGAACUCAUGCUCUUUAUAGAAUGUCCAUGUCUGACGUGGCCAAUGUUCCUCGUUUGCAAGGGCCAGGUCAACAUGAAUGACAUCCGUUUAUUUGCCGAUAUCCAAUAGAACUUGAAAGAUGGAUACUGACAUGGAAAUUAGAAAAGUCAAUUAUUUUUCUCUCUUUUACUCCUCCAUCUUCAACCUCCGCUACGCCUGGGCGCUUGACUAUCUCCACCGCCCAAGCCGCCGCCCCACCCCGGCGUGGCCACCAUGAUCCGUGGCAAAGCUGUUGAGCUCGUCGCCGGCAGCCAUGGACGAGCCAACACUUGAGCUCAAUGCUGUUGAGCAGAAGACCAGAUCCGGCUAAUGAGGGACGGUCGAUUGUCACAUCCAGGCCAACCUCCCCCGUCCACCCUCCCCGUCAUCCCGGCGACUAAGCCUUGGCCACGAGCGCUUAUCCACAGAUACGGAGAUGCAGAGCAGCGGUCGGCCAUGGACGGCCUCUCAUCCACGGAUCUGAGCUCCGACCGCGUCCACCCCUCAGUCUCGCGGCCAAGACUCCGAAUCUAGCCGGACUUCCAGACGUGGACUUCACCGAACUUCGUGUCUCCCCCCUCCGUCGCCGUGUGUGAACGAGCCACUAUCGCUCGUGGCCAAGGCUCCAGAUCUGGCGCAAAUGGAGCUGGUUCUACGCGAUCGUUUUCUGUUUUGGUUGUCUCGUGACGAACGGACCUGCACACUUCAAGUCCAUGGAUUUUGUGUUGGAGUGGUGGAAGGAGGCGCCAGCUUCGGCCAUGGAUUCUCUUCCGACAAAUUCAGUCCCUUGCUGCCAGAUUUGGAAGUGAGGCACCGGACGGAGGAGGAGACGACCAAGUUGGAGAGAUGCGACGCCGACGACUCCGGCGGUGGCAGCUGCGGAAGGAGGCACCGAGGUGGCUAAGGGUGUGCAACUGGACCAGGUAUACCCGAGAACCGGAUCAGCCCACUAGGAAAAUGGGGUUGGGAACCGGUUGUUGAAACUGGUCGAGGAACCGGUUCCCAAACUUUGGAACCGGUUUAAACCAAUCCAGGAAUCGGAUCUGAUUGAUUACCCACCCAAGAACUGGUUCUUGGACCAGUUUUGGAACCGGUUUGGUAAGUAUAGAUCAAAAACCUUAUAUUUCCAUUUAUUUCUAUUCUUAUUACCGCAAUCACAUGGCAUUUUUCUUUUGGCUCUCUCAAACAUGCAUGACACUCCUCUUUCGUUGUUCCUCUUCCUCACUUGCUUCCCUCCCUCAUCGGCUCCCUCUCGCACCGUUUGACAAACGGACAGUGUUCGUCACCACCAAAUUAUUGUGUACCACAUAGAUGCGUAAUUUCUCUUUUGUAUGAGGAGUUAUACUUGCAUAAAUGAGUAACGUCAUGUAGUAGUUUUGGGAAUAAGACUAAUCUAAGACCCAUGUUUGUUGCUAAUUCAUUGCAUUAUGAUUUUAUUUAUUAUAAUUAACCAUGUGGAUCCUUCAUUUUUCGUUUAGUUAAAAAAUUCAUGUAUUUAUUUAUUACAAGUGCUUAAUGUUUCAAUACAAAUUAUGAUGAUUACAUUAUUUUUUCGCGUAUUAAUAUAAAAUUUGAAGUCAUAUAGGAUAUCGAGAAAUUAUAAAACAGGUUUCAAUGGAAACAAAGUUGACCCUGGAACCGGACCGGAAAAACAUGGUGAGUUGGAUACAGGGUCCAAUACAAAUAGAUUCAGGUACAGGUACAGGUACAAAAAAGGGGAAUCAAUUAUAACAGGGUCAGGUACAGGGUCCACGUCUAGACUCUACCCAUCCUGGACCCGAUCACUCUUACUCGUGACUAUAGAUGGAAGAGGAGGAACAGAGAAUUCCAGGUGGACUUGGUGACUUUUGAUUAAUUUCUCUAUUUUCAUGUCACCAUCACCGUACAUGGGUGGAAUUGUAAUUAAUUAAUAGGAAAUAAGUGCAUGCCACAUCAGCCGUUGACGUGGCGAUUGUAAACCACUGAAUAUUUUGUAAGAAAUGUUCGGACCUUACAAAACAUACAAACACAUAUAUACAUACGUAUAUAAAUAUAUAUACAAUUACAUAUGAUGUAUGGUAGAAUUAGAAAAAUCGAAUUAAAAGAAAUAAGAUUUUCAAUGCUUAUGCGCAACCGAAAACUGAUCUGCAGAACUAUGUGCUAAAUUAUGAAUACUUGAAUGGAUAAGUUAUAUGUACAUAUUGACCUAAAAAACUAUAUUAUAUACUACAAAUUGAAUGGACGGCGAGAAGCGGGAUUUGGCAUUUCCGUCGAAGUAAAGAAAGACCAUUUGGAUUGACCUUGAAUGCAAAUUCAAGUUCUCGUGCAAAAGAGCACAUGUCUAGAGUCAAAAGGCCAAUGCAUCAUCAUUAACAAUUAUUCUCGAGUGGAAAGUCAUGACCAUGAGCUAAUCAGAAGGCAUAAAGUCGUUACAACCAUGGCAUGCUAUUGGAAUCUCGCUAAAGUAGGAAUGGAAAAUGCAAAGCUAAUGGAAACCGAAUAAGUCCGGAGUUUUGCGUGAUGAUGGAGAGCAUGUGAAAUGAUUCGACUUUCUAGCUCAUUGUGGACCAUAAAUGUGGUUAUUCCACUGGUAAAAAGGUUGCAUAUUUUUCACGAGAUCAUGAACUUGAUUCUUACGCUAACUAAUUAAAUCAUAUCAACGUUUAUUCCCAACCAUUAAUCAUUAUCUUUUCUUUCGUAACCAAACGAUCUAAAGGGUGCGGUUUCGUUCCAUUUCCCACCAGCCUCACUCCAAAAGACUGAUUUCUUCAACCACUUUUUGGGCCCCCAACGAUAAUUCUUGCUUAUAAGAUUUCGAUUGAUAAAGGUUAGUCGUGAUAAAUUAUGGACCGGGAGCAUAUUUUUUGACGAGCAGACGGCCCUUGCCUCCCUCCAAACGUUCAACUGAUUGGGUCACCUAUCACGGGCAGAAAAAGACGAACGUUGACCGGGGAAGUCUUUCUAUUUAUGCCGACCAAGUCAAUAAUGGUGAUGCUCGUGGUGCUUGUGGGGCUCACGAGCCCACUAUCGGACGAAUAGGGUAGGGAAUAUGAUAAGCGACUGAUAACUAAUGGCACGGACGAUAACGUUUUUAUUCUUGAAAAUAUUUUUUAUUAAAAAUAAUUUUUUAUUUAUAUUCUUGGAAAUAGUUUUUAAGCAAAAAUAUAUAUUUAGUAACUGCACAAAAAUUUAUAUUUUCGAAACAAAAAUGAGUUUGUUUAACCCCAAAUAUUUUUGUAAUUUGAAAUUUCUUUUAAUUUUAUUAUAUUUUUUUCUCUCUUUCUCUUUUCUUUUUCUUUUUCUUCCUUUAGCCGGCAAAGUCGCCCGCCUUGGAAGAGCCUUGCCGGCCACCGUGAAGUCGAGGUUGCCUGGCCAAGCGAGGUCGAGCCUUGAUGAGCCACGGCGAGGCUUGGGACGACCUCACUGGGGGCCGGUGAGGCUUCAACAAGGUCAUCGGCCAUCGCCAAGGUUAGGGGAAGAAGAGGAGGAAGAAAAAAGAAAGAAAAUAAAGAAAGAAAAUAAAAGAGAAAAUACUUAUUUCUUAAGUUAUUCCCCCUAACAUAAAAUAAUUUUUUUGUUUCUUGUUUUUGUGUUAAAUCUAUUCCCAGGAGCAAAAUAUUACGAGGAACAAAAAAAUUACCAAAUUAAUUUCUGUCCUAUUUCUGUUUCGAAGAACAAAAAAGAAAAAUGAAAAAAAAAUAGAGAAAUCGAAACAUUACCAAACGCACCCUAAAUUUCACAAAUGAUUCUGCCUGGACCAUCCACCAGUCGUGACAAAGCUUUAGAAUAAAUAAAUACCAACCUCGCACGACAUCAGUUUUUCUAAUCUCUAAUGCAAUGUCUCUUCCGCGGAAUAGGACAGUUACGAACGCAGGGCAGGGAGGCGUUGAAAAGAAGAUAAUUAUUGUCGGCCGUAUGAAGAGGGAAAAACACGAGCUGACCCACCCGCUGCGUGUAUCAGGCCAGGCUGCAUGUAUCAGGCCAGGACCAGGCAACUUCUGAGAAAUUUCGUCCGAUUAUUUCAGAGCUCUGAAACGUCAGAAAUAUCGACAAAGGCCUCUGUUAGGUUCAUCCUCCGCGACCCACGAGGGGACGAAAUUUCGUGACGGCCUCCCCCUUUUUCUUUUCUGUUUUGCCCUCUUGAUCAUUCUUAUGUCCACUUUCAGAUAUUUGGUAUGGACGCCACUAUCCUGACCGUUCCCUGCGGAACGACGGUAGGACGGUCAAAGGCUAGCCACAAAAUAUUUUUCAGGAAAUCGGUAUACCUACUCAGCCGGCUUCAAUUUUCCAGUUCUAAUUUUGACUCGACUCGAGGUUUUUUUUUUUCCUUAUUAUAAUCUCAAAUUGAAAGACCAAAAAUCACGAGAGGAUCCACAUAAUUAAUUUUCUUGGAUAUAAAUAAAGAAAAAUUAAGUUUAAUACUGAAAUAUAAAUAAUUACAGGAUCACUUACUAAAAAAAUGUUAAUCUCAUUACAUGAAUUUAUUAAAUUUAAAAGAUGAAAAAACACUUCAAACGUUGAUUUUACAACUAAUGAUGAAAUCAUUGUGUAAUGAAAUGGCUUCUAAUUCCUUUUACUCAAAUUAAAUUGAUCUAGAAGGGCUCUCUGAUGACCUAAUAUUAAGACCACUACAUAAAACAAAUGAAGUAAAGAUAAAAUCAAUAUAAGAAUAAUCAAUUGGAAGAGAACAAAAUUUACGCGGCUAAUCCAGCUCUCGUAGAUGAAGAUGUGCAAGGACCUAAAACAUUACAAAAUCAAUCUUAAGAUCACAUGAUUCAAAGCUAAAUUAAAAAAAAAAAACAAUUCUUGAUUGAUUUUUUUUUUUUUUUGGCUAGAGAAUAAUGUAAACUAUUUUAAAAGUUGCAAUUGGGCUCUUCAUAUAUUUCUUAUUAUUUGAAUAUUAUCACUUUGAUUCGUUUCUUUAAAUAAGACAAGAAAAUCAUUUUUAUAUGGAAAAUGCAUUUCCAUAUGAUAAAAACAAAAAACCUGUAAACCAAGGGCCUGUUUGUUUAUUUUUGUUUCUGUUCUUCGGAACAAAAAUGUAUAUUCUUUUGUUUCGGGGAACAAAAAAAAUAACGAAAACACGUUUGAUAAAACUUUUGUUCCCGGGAAUAAAAAAUCUAUCUUUUUUGUUCUCGUUUAUUCCUAAGAAUAGAUUUAGAACAGAAACAAAAAGUAUAAAAAAAUUAUUUUUUGUUCCCGGGAACAAAUUUGGCACUGAAAUUAUUAUUUUUCAAACUUUUUGACACUUAAGUGAUCUAAAAUAAACUUUUGGCACUAAAGUGAGCGCUAUACACAAUUCUUGGCACUUUUAAUAUACUUCCCCUGACAUGUCCUAUAGCCAAGAAGACUAGCUCAAAUAAUGAUUAAACUUCUUGAAUAUGGUAAUGUAAAUGAUUAUUUCCUUAUCUGAGCAACUAAGUACACGAGAUCUCUCUCUCUCUCUCUCUCUCUCUCAAGCCGUUUGCAUGUACAUGCGAGCAGUGGAGUAACAAAUAAAGAGAAAAUACCACUAAAAUUCAAAAUUAUAUCUACUAUAAUACAUUUACUUUAAACUUUCUUUGCAACAUAAAAAAUCCUAAACUUAUAUUUGCAUGACAAAUUUACCUUUCGUUAAGAUUUUCAAAGCCAUGGAAGAUUUCCUUGAGCACUUCUAUAUGUACCGAUGAGCUACGCUCAAAUUUCUAGCCAACACAAAAAGAACAAUCAUAGAUUAGCUAAUGAAAUAGAACAUGGAAUUAAUACAAUAUCAUACACUAUCAAGGUAGGAUCCUGGGAAUGUAGAUUGAGAACUCGAGCAACAGUGUAACCCGCUAAAACUCUUGAGGAGAACUCAGAAAAGCAAUUAGGAAACUAACCAUAUGAGAUUCAACAAACAAGUUGAAAAUCUCCCUUUAAUGUAAUGGGUUUAAAUGUUCUUUAUAUAUACGUGUUUCUAUUCAUCUAUCAGUUUAGCUUUAUGAGUUGGAUAUUAUAUUAUAUGCUAUCUUUACAAUAUCUAAAUAAAAAAGGUUAACUACAUAUUCAAAAAGAAGUUUGACAACCCCUAUCAUACUCCAUUUUUGGACAAAUGACUUUUCGUAUUCUCUUUUUCGUUCUACGUCUCGGAGUGGUCAACACUCUAAGUAACUUAUGUUAAUCAUUUCAUUAAUAACAUGAUUUUUUUAUUGGAUUCUUGAAUGGUAUCUUAAAUCAUUAUACAUGUCAAAUUUAAAGUUCUCCUAUUAUUUUAUUCGGAUGAAUACGCUGUGGCUGGACCCAUAAGCAAUACAAGACGAAAUUUCAGAUGAGGGGGUUGAUGUCGAUGUGUUUUACGAGGCCGGUCUCCUAUGUACAUUUUUUCAGCCUGUGCUUGUAACAUAAAGUAGAACUUUGGACUUGCAAGUGACCAUAUCCCUUCUCUAGAAAUCAACUAACCAUAUCCCUUCUCUAGAAAUCAACUAACUCCCCCAACUUUGGUUCAGAUCGGGAAAAUGAGGAUAUUUAUAACCGGUCAAAAUUACACAUACUUUUAUAGAACAAAACUCAUGUAUAUGGAUUAGCAAAUUGAAUCAUUUAAUCCUGUGACGUGAAUGACACCAGAGGUUUACUUUCAUAAUUUAUAGGGGAUCAUACCGCAUAGAGUUUUGUUUGUUAGGAAAUUAAUAGUAGAACAAUGAACUUUGCCCCUUUUUCUUAUACAAACAAGAAAAAAAUUAACAGGGAUUUAAGGUAGCAAUAAAAUUUUCACUCCUAUAGCAUAUAGUUUACAUUAGAGCUUAUUUCCUUCAUUUUUCGUGUGAGAUUUUGUGGGAGAAUUGCCAACUAUUCUAAAAGUUUAAACUGUUAGAUAAAUGUGUAAUUUAUUAUUUAAAUAUUCUAAAUUCUCCCUUAAAUUUAGUUUGGUUUUUUGUCUAGUACUAAGCGUGGAAAUUUAAUUGAGGAGGCGAAUGGAGCUUAGUAAGAUUUGAACUCAUGACUUUCAAAUUUGACAUCAUGUGAGAUUUUUAAAAGUUUAAAUUGUUAGAUAAAUGGGUGGUUUAUUAUUUAAAUAUUAACAUUUUGUUUAAAAUUUCUACUUGAUUUCUUUCAUGAGGGCAACAAUUUGGGGCGUCAAGUGUUUGAGCCAGUCGUUAUGUCAACCUUCGCCAACAAAUGCAAUUUUGGUGCUUUGCAUCACGGUAAAGUAAUGUCAUGGCAUAAAGACACUAGAAGUAUCAAAUUUUUUAUAAGGUUCUCACUUUAGUACUAAAACUUUUCGUCAACUCACUUAAAUUUCAAAUCGCAGAAAAAAUGAUCACUUAAGUACUUUCGAGAAGAACUUCUGACAAAAAAUAUGACGUGACUAUUAUCAUCAAAAGUUUAAUAAAGGUUAGCAUUUUGUUUAUUUAUCAAAAGCCAGUUCACGUGCACAUUCUAAACGGCAUCCCACGACUUCCAAUUCCAAAAACAACGCUACACGCAUGUCUUAUGUUUUUUUGGUUGAACCUGUUUUUCCUUUAAGUCUCUCUCUCAAUGAGGAGACACAGAAAGCCGCCGCCAAAGGAGGCGGAGGCGGCUAAGAGGUGGAUGGAGGAGGAGGUGUGGCGGGCGGUGGAGUAGGCGAGGGAGCUACAGGAUGCCAGCGCUGGGCACGUCGCCUGCAUGUUGAACGAGGAGCAGUCAUAACGACAAUACACGCUGGCGCUCGACUUGUCCAUUCGCUGCCUCAGGGCCUCUAUCAGUGCUUAGGCGAGCAGCAGGCUGUUGGGUUCGAAGGGUGCCGACAAGGUCGAGGAGGAGCCACAGAGGACCAGGUGCAUCAUGGCCAAUAGAGACGCGUCAUCAUUUCUUCCGUCGAAAGCUCUAGGCGUUUUGAACUUGGCUCGUUCACUUUCCUUUCCUUUGCCAUGGGUUUCUUUCUCCUUCUUGUUUACGUGUUCGGCGUGGUGGAUGAUGGUGACCAAGACACACAAGCGGGCUUCGUGAAGAUGUUCCUAGGUCCAAUUAAUGCAGGUGCCUCGAGGAAAGAUUGAAUUGUUAAUUUUGGAGGCAAACAGAAUUAGAGUCUCGAUUUAGGAUUGAACGAUCAAUUUAAAGUUUGGAAUUUGGGAAUUUUGUUGAAUUGGAGAUUUAGGGUUUAUAUUUUGGGCGAAACUUAUGAACAAGGUCAUUUAGAGGAUUAUAUACUAAGUGAGCCAUUAGCAAGUCAUAUUGGUUGGAGAUAUUAAUAAGAUAUGGUCACAAUAGAUUUUCGAUGAUCUAAAUCGGAGUUUGCAAUCAAACUCAUGUGUACUUCAUUCCCAUCAAUAAAGUUGGACACUGUUGGACAAAAAUGUUUUCCAUGUUGGUUAUUGUGCUCUCCAAUAGGUAUACUUUGGUUACAUUUGCUCAUCCAAAAUUCUAGUCAUAAUAGGUCUAAAUAAGAAAUCCUAGGAUUUGUCACAUUCUAUCUACUAUUUGGUCAUUUAUGGAUUUAAAGUUGGAUAUUUUAAUAUCUUAUCAUGUCCAUUAUUUGGUAGAAAUUGGCUAUCUAUAUAAAGGAUAUAUAAAUAUAUAUGUAUGUAUGUAUGUAUGUAUGUAUUUUCCCCUAUGUUGUGCCCAUGAAAAAAUAUCGAUAUUAUCAUCAUAUAGAGACUUGAUCUCCAAGAAAGAUCGAUUAGUAAACUGCACAGCAACUUCAGUCAAAGUCGGGAAUGGAUACUUAUUCACUAGCAACAUGCAGAUUUGCAUUCAUUGAAAGAGGCUGGGAGUCGUUGAAGCACAUUUUGGCUUUGCUUUCUCGGCCCUUGCCUUAAUCACAUUACAAAGGAUUAUAGAGACAAACGAGCAGCGGCUAAAGCAUACGAAACAUUGAUAGAUUCACACAACACAUCACUACCAACUAGAGUUACAGUAUCAGUAAAGACGGACGGUUUUGUCCCAAAAAAGGAAAAAUUGCACCAUAAAUCCUAAAACCUUAAUAUGAAAUGCAAUUGGAUCCUAAAAUUUUCAAUUCACUCAAUCAAUUCCUAUAUUUCAAUUGGUUCAAUUAAAUCCUUAACCUUUUAUUGCAAAAACGCAAUUAGAUCCUCAAAUUAUGUUAAAAAGUGCAACUUAGGGAUGCCACAUAAGUACUUUUUUGAGUGAUACGAGGGCAAUUUUUAUUAUUGUUCAUCGAAAAGUCUUGAUUAGGCUUUUUGAAGAAUUUUUAGGGUUUAAUUGAACCAAUUGAAAGAUUUAGGACUUGAUUGCAUUCCAUACACAAUAUUUAGGGCAUUCUAUGCAACUCCCUUAUGAGAAAAGAACACCUUGCAAAAACCAUAUGUAGCAUGCCAACAUGAUAUCAUCAGAGAAAGUGCAGCGAAAAUCCUGAAUCAUAUGUAGGAAUGUGAUAUGGUCAUAAAUCUUUCUAUUGGUUCAAUCAAAUUCUAUAAUUUUACCAUAGUUAAAUGAAAUCUUUAUGGUAAACACUCCAAGGCCUUUGGCAGCUUUUAAUUGCAUUUUUCAAUAUAAGUUUAGGACUUGAUUACUUUUUUGUAAAGGUUUAGAACUUAACUUACCUUUAUUAAAAGGUUUAAGGUUUGAAUCACAUCUUUUGCUAAAAGUCUAGGGAUUAAUUAUACCAAUUUAAAAUUUUAGUACUUGAUCGCAUCUCAUAAAUAAGCUUAGGAUUUAUAAUGCAACCACAUGAUAUCAUCAAACCAAUCAAGUGCUUACAUUGAUUGCAUCUUCUUUUUCAUACACUAAUGCAUGGGUGAGAUGUGUUUUGAUUGACAAAGGGAAUUAAGAUAGAUUAUGGUCACCACCAAGGCAUAAAAGACACGCCAUCAACCAAGGAUAAAAUUUGGUAUAGAUGAAGUUCACCACCAAGACAUAAAGGACAAGCUACUAGACUUCAAUAAACGAGAAAUUUGGCACUGAAGCCUAAAGGAAAGCCACCAACCAAAGAUACGUAAUUUCUUGGUUUGCCACCAAGGAACUUGAAUAAAGAAUUGAGAUAGAAAUUUGCUCAUUUGAGGAAAAUCAUAUCCAUCAAAUUUGUUAGGAUGCUAGAGAGAAGUCCCACGUCGAAGAAUUGAUAUGGUGUUAAGUAGUUAAUAUAUUCAUUUGGCCCGUAACUUAUUUUUGAGUGAAUGUAGUUUCAACUAUAUACGUUGACGGGCACAGAUUUUGGCUUCCUCUUGGUGAACUCCCCGAAAGAAGGUAUCGGGCUUCUAAUACAAGCUCCCAAUAAAUAGUAUGAGGGCCAAUGAUAGAUAAUUGGUUAUUCGGUCUGUUCCAAUGUUUGGUGAAUAUAUCAAAAAAGAAAUUUCAUGAUAGAACUUGUUUCGGGUAAAAAUUGCCAUCAUGGUUGGUCUCAAGUGGAGAUAAGUUGAUGCAAAAAGAUACUUUAAAUUAAGGGGAGCAUAUUCAACACUAGAGCUUAAAUGUUGAGUCCAGUGAAAGGUAUAGAGACUAUGGGCGAUGCAAUCCCAAGUUAGCAGUUGAUGUUCGUUGGUUGUUGUGCAUAGUUGCAGUUAUAUUGCAAUGAUUUGAAAAUUCAAGUUGAGAUAAGUUGAUGCGGAAUGAUACCUAAAUUAAGGUAGAGCAUAAUCAACAUUGUAGCUCACAUGCGAGGGAGAGAUUAUUAGAAUGCACAUGUGAAUUAUAUAAGAGAAAAGUCUCAUAUUGGAGAAUUAGUUUAGUGUUGAGUAAUUAAUAUAUUAUAGUUAGUCAAUAAUUCAUUGGCUUCAGUUUUUUAGUGAAUGUGGAUUCAACUGGAUUUGUUAACGGGCUUGGACUUGGGCUUUCUCUUGACAAUUUCCCCAAAAUAAGGUAUUGGGCUUCCACUGUAUGCUCCCAAUGAAAUUCAAGUCUUGUCUUCUUAACAAUUGAGAUUACACGUUUAUUUAUAGAAUGAUUAUACUAAAUAAAAGUGAAGAGUCUUAAAAUCUUAGAAAUCAAAAUGAGUUUUGCUUUAUUCACAUAAUUAAAACUCUUGAAAGCAACAUCAUAAUAAAAACUCAUGAAAGCUAGGACUGAAGACUCAUAAAACUAAGAAUAAAGAUAGUUAAUUAUUAGGACUACGCAUUUGACUAAAUUAUUGCAUUGUAACUCAAUUUGAUCUCCAAAUUCGACCACUAGUUUGGGAAAUUCAAUAGCCACCUUAGAAUAUCGACAAACAGAAAAGGAAAUCGACCAGAAUAGCGCCCAAUCACUCAAUAGUCGAUAAGUAGCCUCGAAAUUGAUAAUAGAUUUGCAAAUUGACAUCCAGUCCAUUGGAUCAACAGCUAGCAUAUAGAAUUGACAUCUUCAAACUUGGACUCUUUGAUCAAACUGUAUAAGGAAUUGACCUGUGCUUGUAGGAGUAAUCUUUGUGCUGGAUCAACCAACGAGGCGUAAGUUGAGUUUGAGAAUUGUUCCAUAGAAGUCGAUGCUGUCGCAUCAGACAGACACUGAAGCAGCAGCCGGUACUAGUACCAUGUCGACAUGCGACAUGAUUUGACCAUUAUGUGAUAGACAUUCUCCAUUUGGUUUUGCAGAAUCGUCUGUUUGUCCUAAAACCGGAGCCAAACGUGGAUGUGUGCGGUAGGGAAGACCAGUUCUAGCCCCCAGUUCAGACACAGACACUGAGGCAGUAGAUGCUGGUUCCAUGUCGACGUGCGACAUGAUUGGACCAAUAUGUGACAGACAUUCUCCAUUCGAUUUUGCAGAAUUGUCAGUUUGUCCUAAAAACCGAGCCAAACGUGGAUGGGUGGCGUGGGGAAGACCAGUUCUAGCCCCCAAUUCUUUGCACCCGGCAGCCGCCUAGAGUUGAAGAAUCACGGGAUGAAAAGAACAACUCAGAAGAGAUUAAUAUGACAAAAUUAUGCGAUGUUCCUAUCCUUAUCAGAAGAGAUAUCCUAUUUCCUGAAAAUAGUCGAUUUGAUUACCGAACCAGCAGGCGGCGGCUGGUUACCGAAGCUCCGUGCAGGUUCACGCCUAACGGGGCUCGGCCUAUAAGUCCCAGCGAAGUUCGGCAUAUAAGUCCCAGCGAAGUUCGGCAUAUAAACUAGCGACGGGCUUUCACUGAAGUUAAUGGGCUUCUGCUAAAACAAUGAAAUAAACUUGGAUCAGUAUUCCGCACGAAAAGGAAAAUCAUAGAUAUUCAAUUCAAAACUGUCUCUGAAUUUUUUAGAAAAACCUAGUGGCAUGUCCUUAUACUAAGGAGCUAUAUACAGAAAUUUUCACACAUCAUAAUCUCAUAAGCAUUGUCGGAAAACUUUGAUGAACAAGUAACUACUUCUAUUUGUCCAAGGGCAAACAGAUUGCCCUUAAAUUUUUUCUAAACAAGUUACUGAGGGAAAAAUCGGAACAAUGUUACAUGCUGGUAAAAGGUAAAAGACGUUUGUAACUAUCCCUAGUUACUGAUGUUUUUGGUAAUCAAGAGUUAUCGAUGCUUUAAUUUCGUUGAUCUUAUAAGUGUCAGUACUUGUAAUAUAAUGAAAAUGAGAUUGGACUUUUUUCUUGAAUAUCAUUUGUUCGUAUCAACAUCAUAAUUCACAUAGGAAAGUGCUUAAUACUCCCCUCAAACGGGAAGAAUCCACUUAUAUUGGUUCAUGUAGUAGACCGAGAUCUCGUAUUUAAUGCUUUAAUCAAAUAUAAACAAUUUGAUACAUGUGGAUCUUUCUUCGGCACAUUAACGAACAUUAACGAGCAUCAUCAGAGUUAGCAAUUGUUGCAUUCAAAGUUCUUAAUAAUACACAUACAUAUUCAUAUCCAUAUGCAUAGAGGAUAUGUAGAAGAUAAGGAAAUAAAGACUAUCCAUUUAAAUGCGCACCUUCAAUUGCUUACUCAGUGCUUGGAUGUUGCUUUCGUGCAGAUCAAGUUGGCCUAACUUCUUAGGACUAGAUGAAGAUUCUGGGCUCCAAGGACGACAUUCAGGCCAUUCAAACCAUCUUAGUUCACCAGGAAGAUAGAUAGGAUCUUGGAAAGAGUUGUGCACAUUAAUCAUGAUGAGCGUCCUCAACCUUCUCAAAUUUGUGAGAGCAUGAGCCCCUAUGUAUAUCUUCUCUGGCUUGGGCAAGUUUAAAACUACCAACUGUAAGUCAUGUGUUACUUGUACUUAUAGAAUUUGCAUUGCAAUUAAUAUGCAAAAUUAAAUACUAAGAGAGCAAAAUCAAUGUCAACACUAGCAAAUCUUACCAAUUGCCUUGAUAGAACACUACGAAAAUCAUCAAAAAGCCAUAACUUGCUACGUCUUCCAGGAUCAUUGGGGCAUUCUUGUCUAAUGAUAUCCAUGGCCAUCAAUUGAAUCAAGUUACACAUCCGUAGGGUCUCUCUCUCUUCAAUUAUCAAGGACUUCUCAACAAGAACUUUUACUCCAAUAACAGGGUCAAAGUCGUGGGAGUCAAGAACUUUCAUAAUGUACUCUUUAGAGUGCCCUGUGAAGAGACAAGCAAUAUCAAGGAAGAUUUGCUUUGCAUCGUUGUCUAGUCCAACGUAACUCCACUUAAAAGUAUCAUUGAUGAUUUUGUUAGGAAUAUUGGCGAGAUUAUGCAAUCUACUUUCCCACUCACGUUCACUUCUAUAACGCGGGAAUUGACCCAAUACCAUAAGUGCUAAAGGAUGUCCAUUAGCGUAAUGCAAAACCCCAUUCACAAGAUCCCUCCUUAUAUGGUUCCUACUCAAAAAAGCCUCUAUAGUGAAAAGUUCAAAGGCAUUAUAAUUCUCUAGAGGUUUAACUUCAUAGAUGUAAUCUUCAUCUAUUCCAUGAGAAGUUAGCAAAUGCUUAUCUCUCGUUAUAAUAAUGAUCCUGCUUCCUUCACCAAACCACUCUGGCUUUCCGGCUAAAGCAUUUAACUGUUCUUGAUCAGUGACAUUGUUGAGAACAAGGAGAACUUUCUUGCGGCAAAGUCUAUCUUGCAUUAAAUGAAUACCUCUAUGAACAUUAGACACCGCUAAUCUUUCUCUUUUUAAUAUUUCACGCAACAACUGUUCUUGCAAGCAACUAAAUCCUUGGGACCUUCCAAAGCUUUGCGAAUGUUUUCCAAAAAACAUGAACCCACAAAUUGCCUAGAAAUAUUAUCGUAUAGGGCUAAACCUAAAGUUGUCUUCCCUAUGCCUCCCGGUCCCCAUAAUCCUAUCAUGUGAACACAAUCAUCAGACUUCAGUUUUAACAUUGAAUUAAGCUCUAUCACUCGAGGAUGUAUGCCAACCAGAUGCUUAGCAACAUGUAAGGGUCUUCGUUCAAGCUGCAUAGAGAUCUUGUUCACAAUUUUCUCUAUAAACUCUGCUUCAACUCUGGAGAAAAAAAAAAGGAAAAGUACUUGAGAUAUUGAUUCAGCAAUUCAAAGAAAUGAUUAAGUUUCACGAAAACAAAGUGAGGAUAUGAUUCAGCAGAUAUAAAACGGGGACAAAGUAGUGCAUCACAUCAAUUAACACUUACUCAUCAUUCAAGUGCCAUCCACACAAGUUACCGAUGUUAGAAAGAGCCUUCCUCCAUCUGGUCACUUUUUGUGAAUACUUCCCGAGUUUGGACUCAUGCUCAGCCAUAGCUCUCCCAUAACUUCCUACCAUCUUUUUCACUUCUCUUGGUUCCACUUUGUAAAACACCGGCAACACAAUCAAGUCUUUCCGUACCUUACACUCCUUGAUUUUCACCAGCUCUUCCAAACACCACUGUGAGGAAGCAUAAUUCUUGGAGAAAAUGAUGAUGGCAAAGUGUGAUUCCUCAAUCGCCUUCAUAAGCGCCAAACGUAUUUCCUCUCCUUUCCUCAUUUCCUUGUUGUCGAUAUACGUGGAUAAACCUUUUUGGUUUAGAGUUGUGUAGAGAUGACUGAGGAAGUUUUUGCGAACAUCGGUGCCUCUAAAACUCAAGAAGAUAUCGUAAUCCUUCUUAUGUUUCAAAGAAGAAGAAGAAGCCAUUAGAAUUUGGCAAAACGAGGGAGGUGCUGGUGUGAUUGCUUGGAAUUUUGGAAAAUGAAGGUGCUGAAGGAUGAAGCGAGAUUUUAAAAGGUAAGCUACUCCAUUGCCCCCCCACCAAAUAAAGUACUUGGCUGUGGCUUCCAGGAAAUGGCAUUCGCAAUCAAUGAGGUUUUUGUUCCCUGUUGGAUCUUCUUGGUAAUUUCUUUACACCCAGAGGGAUGACUUUCUUUUUCGGGAGUCAACAAAGAAUGUUAGCGCCAGACUUAUUUCCUCUCCUUUCCUCAUUUCCCUGUUGUUGACAUACGUGGAUAAACCAUUUUAUUUUAGAGCUGUGUAGAGAUGAUUGAGGAAGUUUUUAUGAACAUUGAUGCCUUUAAAACUCAAGAAGAUAUCGUAAUUCUUCUUAUGUUUCAAAGAAGAAGAAGAAGCCAUUAGAAUUUGGCAAAACGAGGGAGGUGCUGGUGUGAUUGCUUGGAAUUUUGGAAAAUGAAGGUGCUGAAGGAUGAAGCGAGAUUUUAAAAGGUAAGCUACUCCAUUGCCCCCCCACCAAAUAAAGUACUUGGCUGUGGCUUCCAGGAAAUAGCAUUCGCAAUCAAUGAGAUUUUUGUUCCCUGUUGGAUCUUCUCGGUAAUUUCUUUACACCCAGAGGGAUGACUUUCUUUUUUGGGGGGUUUAACAAAAUAUAUUAUAUUAAUUUACAGCUUUGUGGACGAAGCAGAUGAGAGCUAGGCUUGAUAUUCAAUGCCGGAGAACUGAGGUACCGCGGCACCGGGCUUAGCAAGCAAAUGUCGCUAGCUUUAUUUUGGUGGCUGUAACUCGAAAGGAUAGCUUUCACGUGCAAAUCAUUUUAAAUACUUUUCACAAGAUGUAUUGCCAUUAGUUAUGCAAGUAUAAAGAUACUUGUGCCUGAUUUGAAAGAAGUGUUCUGAUAUGAGUAUGUCUUCACCAAUCGGUGUCACAUUUUUAUUUUAACUAGGCAUUCUAGUUACAAAUUGGAUGAGGAUUACCUUUUCCUUGCUCAGGCAUGAAAAUAGAUCAAGCUUUUUUUUUUUUUAUUCUUUCAGUUGAAAGUAAUGCAGUUGGUUCUAGUGUAUAAAUUCAAAGAAAUGAGAAAUUUUCUAGAAGAACGCCUUUAAAUGAUUAAUUGGUACGUGAAUAGCUUAUCUUCUAUUACUUUGGAGCAGCUUAUCUUCUAUUACUUUGGAGCAAAGUGUCUUUCGCUCGACUAGGGCCUUAUUCAUUGGAUGCUUUUUUUUAAAAUUCAUAUGCUUGGUGAUUUCAUUCCCUAUCAAAUCAAAGUGCAAAUCAUUUUCAAAAGCAUUGGAUACUUCAUAAGAGAGUUUGCAAGAAAGACUUCAGCUAGGUGUGAAAGAACUAGGACUUCGGCUAGGUGUGAAAGAACUAGGGGUGAUCGAUUCCCAUGUGAAAGAACUAGGGGUGAUCGGUUCCCAAUUGAUAUGGUUCCCACCUAGGAACCGAACCGAUGAGAUUGGUUCCUCAAUUCCAUAACUGAGGACCGAACCAACAGAGGCUGGAACUGGGGACCGACCGAAGGGAUCACUCCAAGUCGGUUCCUGGGCGCUCCAAUAGAACCGACCACUACUCAUGCAAAAAAUUUCAAACUACUUGAGCAAGCAUCAUUUCCCUACCCUUAAGCUUCUCACUUUGUUUCUGCCGAAAGACCCAAAAUGGCGUGCCCCAUGCUUGGUUUUUAUAGGCAAACUCUCAAAUGCUCUUUGAGUAGUUGAUCAAUAUGGGACUCUUGGAGGCUUGGAGUAGGCACUUGCAUGAGAGGCAGAAAGAGAGAGGGAGGAAAAGCGAGAGGGAGAGGUAAAGGGAGAGGGAGUGAGCGAGCAGCUGUCCCACAUAAAGUAUUAAGCAGAGACAAUAAGCUAUUGGUCUUUAUAAAUAGAGACAAACGAAUGGACCACUUUUCAGUCUCUCGGUCGAUUUCUUUUACUCUGUUGGUAACGCGGCAGCAUUGGGAAAAAUGGCCUUGAAAUGGUGCUUUAGUUGACCCAAAUAUUAAAAAUUUAAGCAUAUUUUUAGCAAGUAAAUUAAAGUUUUAAGAUACUAGAAGUCGGUCAUGAUCUAGUCGAUUGAUUCUGCCUUCGGAAUUGGGAACCGGACUGAAAAUUUUCGGUCCCAUAUUAAUGGAACCCGGACAGGCAACUUAGAGAACUGGACCGAAAAUUUUCGGUUCCAUAUUAAUGGAACCCGGAUAGGCAACUUAGAGAACCGGACCCAACCAGAUGAUUCGGCCCGGUUUAGGCCGUUCUCGGUUUGGGCGGUUCCUUUUGCUCACCCCUAGAAAAAACACGGUCCAUUUAGAUUAUUUAGUCCAAAAGAGGAUUUUUGCAUUUAGACUUUAACGGAGGACGGCACUUCAAAAGUUUAAAGUAUCCACUAACGUGGAACGUGGCAGGCAUUGCGUAUAGAGUUUAGCUGAUUUUGUUACUAUCUAAAUUGAUGCUGCAUGUGAAUAUCACUAAUGUUAAUUGAGCACAAUAAUUACACCGAUCAUUAUGAAUUUCAUGUCAUAUGAUGAUAUCUCAACUGUUUUUUAUUUGUCUUUGUUGCUUAGUCCAAAACGCAAGGAAAUGUUUGCUCUAUCAGUUUCCUGCUAGCUUCCCUCCACGCGACUUCCCUCUGUAAAGAAAAAAGUUCAAUUUGCUUUUGACGGGCAGGUGGCCUCCAGCACCUUGUUCCUUCUACAUGCUCAUAUCUAGAGCGAAUCCAAGGCUUGACUCCAAUGGCUCAUUUCCAUUGCAUUUUUUAUUCUUUUUUCAUUAACUGAAAUGGCUUGAUCGUUAUUACUCGGGAAAAUUUUAUGUAAGGAGAUGGAAUAGAGUCAUUUUACAAAAAUGGGGCCAAGUUGACUAUUCUCAAAUAAUUGCCUAAAAUGACUAAAUCGAUCUCACAUAAGAGCCAAAAACUCACUGGUCAAUCAAAUUUUUGAUAGCCGGCGAGCAUGCGAUUGUUCCACCAUAUGGAACCUGGAUAUUUUUGUCUAAAAAAAUUUGGUAGAAAUUACAAACCCCAAAAACGAAGGCAAACCCACCCCUCCGGAAAAGUUUCUCCCUUCGUUUCUUCACAUCUUCUUCAUUUCCUUCUAGUCUUCUCCUUCUAGUCUUCUUUUCUUUCCAAAGAUGAAGACAGCUCAGGCGAGGCCUACCUCUUUGUUAGCCAGAUACUUACAUGCAACACAGGGGCCCACCCAUGUAACGCCACCUUGUUCCUUCUACAUGCUCAUAUCUAGAGCGAAUCCAAGGCACGACUCCAAUGGCUCAUUUCCAUUGCAUUUUUUAUUUUUUUAUUAACUGAACCAGCUUGAUUGUUAUUAUUCGGGAAAAUUUUAAAUAAGGAGAUGGAGUAGAGUUAUUUUAUAAAAAAAGGGGCCCAAACUAAAUAUUCUUAGGUAAUUGCUUAAAAUGACUAAAUCAAUGUCACAUGAGAGUCAAAGCUCGCUAGUCUAAAUUAAUCUCACGUAAGAGCCAAAGGUUGCUAGUCGGCCAAAUUUUUUAUAGCUGGUAAGUGUGUGAUCGUUCCAGCAGACGAAACCUGGAUAUUUUUGUCAAAAAAAAUUUGACAAGAAUUACAAACCCCAAAAACAAAAGCAAACCCACCCCUGCCCCCAAAGGUUUCUUCCUUCGUUUCUUCACGUCUUCUUCCUUCCUUUUGGUCCUCGUCUCUUUCCAAAGAUGAAAACAUAGCUCAAGCGAGGUCUACCUCUUUGUUAGUUAGACACUCACAUGUAACACAAUGGCCCACCCAUGUAACACCACCCUGUUCCUUCUACAUACUCAUAUCUAGAGCGAAUCCAAGGCUUGACUCCAGUGGCUUAUUUCCAUAGCAUUUUUUAUUCUUUAUUUUUUGUUAUUAACUGAAAUGGCUUGAUUGUUAUUAUUCGCACAAAUUUUAAAUAAGGAGAUGGAGUAGAGUCAUUUUAUAAAAAGGACCUAAACUGAAUAUUCUCAAAUAAGUUGCCUAAAUUGACUAAAUUACUCUUACAUGAGAGCCAAGGCUCGCUGGUUGAGCAAAUUUUUUAUAGCCAGCAAGUGUGUGAUCGUUCCAACAGACGAAACCUAGAUAUUUUUUUCUAAAAGAAUUUGAUAAAAAUUACAAACCUCAAAAGCAAAAGCAAACCCACCCUCCCAAACAAAGGUUUCUUCAUUCGUCUUUUCACAUCUUCUUCCUUUCCUUCUGGUCUUCGUUUCUUUCCAAAAAUGAAGACAAAACUCAAGCACGGCCUACCUCUUUGUUAGUCAGACACUCACAGGUAACACCAGGGCCACCCAUGUAACACCACCUUGUUCCUUCUACAUGCCCAUAUCUAGAGCGAGUCUAAGGCUUGACUCCAGUGGUUCAUUUUCAUUGCAUUUUUUAUACUUUCUUUUGUGAUUAACUAAAACAGCUUACUUGUUAUUAUUCGGGAAAAUUUCAAAUAAGAAGAUGGAGUAGAAUCAUUUUAUAAAAAAAGGGCCUAAACUGAAUAUUUUCAAAUAAUUACCUAAAAUGACUAAAUUAAUCUUACAUAAGAGCCAAAGCUUGCUAGUUGGCUAGAUUUUUUAUAACUAGCUGUCGUGACCCGGCCCUCUCAAGGGGAAAAGGAAAGAGGAAGGUCGGGUUUAGAGGCAUUUGACUAUGAAAGUUUCCUCAUGGUUCGCAACCACAAAAGGACGUUAUCACCUUACCUUUUGAGGACAAAACCAAUUAUGAGUUCGCUUGAUCACCGAUCAUGACCUCCCCCAAACUCAUACCUCGUGUGAUAGCAAAAAGUGUUGUGAUCGUACCCACACGGGUAACACACCCUGAAAGAGGAGGUUGGGUGUGGAUAUCAAAUUUCGGGGUACCUUUAGCAUGGUAGUCCUCCCACUAGUACUCUCUUCCUUAUGGAUGGCAUCACUCCAUCAAUUAGGAGCUUUCCACAGUGUGUAUGCUAAACCAUGGUGAGCCUCAUUGAGACGCAUACCCCCCACGACGGGUUUGCUUGUUAACUUGUUGUUUAAGACAACCUAAAAAAAUAAGACAUGAGUCGCCACUAGCCUCGUUUUUUAAAGUUAACUAGAAAAUCCAAUUGAAUGUAGGGAGUUGUCCCUCGAUUUUUACGCAACUAGCUAUCUUGAUUUAGGGACUUGGGUUACGCUAAUAUUUUUAUUAGCGUCUUUUCAGUACCUAAUAGUAUGUUGUGUGCCUAUGGUGAUCAUGCAUGUCUUUUUUACUUUUUGGGUAAAAAAAUCCUAAACUAAGUGGUCACAAGUGGAUGGUCAUUUCCAUGCCAUUUUAUUUCUAAGAAAGAUAAAAGAAAACACUCAAUUGAAUUUAAAGUGCUGGAUGGUAAGUAAACAAUAAAGUAAAACGGUAAAUCUAUCAUGCAAUCCUAAAACUUAAAAGAAGUAAGGGAAAGAAAAUGAAUGAAAAGGAAAGAACCCGCAACUCGUCGGGUGAUUAUAUAAAUGAGGAAACCUAAGACAUAUGUCAACGACGAAUGCUAGAAGGAUUUGGUCAGAGUGGACAUCGCCGUCUUCAUGUCUCGAUGAUUUUGAACCUCCAUGAACCUAAUCUAAUUCUAACAUAGAGACUAGAAUUGGCCACAUAUGAUGGAAAGAAACACUUAUACACAUCAAAACAAUAAAAACCACAACAUGGGAUUGAGAAUCAAGUGAAGUAAAGUUCAAAAUCAACCACAUUUGGGCCUCGAGUCAGCCUUUGCAAUUCAUGCGUGGAUCCCUCUGAACACCUAUCGAGUCAGCCCCGGAAGAAAGGCACUCCUCCUACUGGCAAUUGACGAGGAAGAAAGCACUACUUUUGGAGACUUGCUUUUCUUAGAGUCCGUCAAAACCAUACAAAGAAAUUGCGGGUAGCUCUUGCUGUUCGCGUGACGCUCGGGGCUCUCUGAUAUGAGUACCCCGCACGGUACGUGCCCGAGUCAUGGGGAUGCAGUCUUCGAAGUUCAAUGUCAGGAAAAUGCAGACAGAAAGUUAAGAUCACGAAAAUUGGGAAGGGAAAUUUACUCAAGAGCAUAAUCGGUACGCCGACAUGAAUCAGAAUUCAGUAUCAUUUUCAGUCUCAAAUUACAGUCCAGACGCAUUACUAAACUCGCGUGAUUUUUUUCUCAAGGUUGGGCAUAGAUUGAGAUGGCCACGGCCAGAUACGCGUUUGCAUUCUAUAGCUAAUCAAUCAAAUCAUCGAUGUUCGUUGUCAGCCGUGUUCGUUGUCAGCCGAUAAGUCAUAAUCUCUUCUUUCGUGACAAACAAUCAAAAGGUUGCAACGUCGUCCAUCUCCCACCAACCCAACUCCAAAGACCAAUUGGCCAAACAAAUGCGAUGACACUUGGAACUCAAUCCGUUUAGUUCUCUCAGUAAAUUUCGUCAACUACUUUUUUGGCCCCCAACAAAUAUUCUUGGUCAAAAGAAUUCGAUCGAUCGGAUUAGCCCCGACAAAUUAUGGAGUAGAUGAAUAUCUUUUCUGGAAUAGAUGGACAUUGUCUCCCACAAAACGUCGAAUUGAUUGGGCCAACUUUCACGGGGGUGGGUAUAGGACGGCCGUUGACAGGGCUAGCCUUUCUUUGCUAAGUCAAUAAUGUCCACGUUCUGUGGGGCUCGUGAGGCCGACAUUGGACGAAUAAAGCGGGCAAUAGAAUAAGUGACCGAUGACUGAGUUCAUGAAGACUUAAGACUUGCAAGUAUCGCCAACGUGAUUUCGAGUAGACCCUCCACCAGUCCGUGACAAAGCUUUGGACAAUCAACACUAACCACGCGUGAAGAUAGUUUUUUCUAGUCUCCAUCACAAUGAUAGUUUUUUCUAGUCUCCAUCACAAUGUCUCUUCGCGGACUGAGACAAAGAUUGGCUGUUGAGAACGCAGAGGGGGCAGGGACGGAAACGAAGAUAAAUGUUGCCGAAGAGGACAAAACAUGAGCUUGACACAGCUGUUGCACGUAUCAGGCCAGGCAAUUUCGGAGAAAUUGGGUCGAUGAUUUCAGAGCUCUGAAACUUCAGAGAUAAGGACCGGGGCGUCAGGUUCCUCGUGACUCACGAGGGACGAAAUUUCGUGACAACUUCUCCCUUAUCUUUUAUUUUUUAUUAUUAUGUCCACUUUCAGAGAUUUUUGUAUUUAUAUUGAUGAAGCGCACAACCCACCGCAUACCCUUGUUAAAAUAUGUCUCGAGUUUGAGUCCAAUGUGAAAUUCCGAAUAUUUCGAAUUGGAUAUGUUGCGGACGUUCGAAAUUCAGCAAAGAAGAUCCGAAGAUCAACUCCCCAAAUUUGAAUCUGCAUUGGAGAGUCUAGCUGCUAAAAUAGGAAAGUCAAACUUUGACUAGGACUUGGAUUUUGUUUAAAAUAUACAAAGAUAUAUUUUGGAUAGGACUUGGAUUUUGUUUAAAAUAUACAAAGAUAUGUUUUGGAUAGGAAACAAAAUCCUAUGAGAAGUUGACAAAAGAAUAAGGGUUUCACUUAUAUAUAGACUUGUGGCCGUGGGUGGUAGAGGUGGAUUACAAAUUGUCUUGAAGCACCGUGUGAGUGCUUGGUGUUCCGCCGUUGAUCGUGAAGAAGUGUUCUUGAAGCGCCGUCUUGUCGUCGAGUGCUUGAGAUGGAUUUUCUUUGUCAUUCUUGUUUGUGAAUUACAUCCAAGGAAGUUUAGUGUUGAAACCAAUUAAAUCUUGUGGUAAGAUUUGCGUGUAAUUCCUCCAUGGGAUUGAGAGAUUAUUUUAGAGGAAUUUCAGGGCUAAACACUACGUGCGUUAUUGGGUGUAAUUGGGGCUUGGGAAACAUCGAGAGAGUUUGAGUGAUUUGAGUGUGUAAUCUCCUUGUAUCGCUUGAUCCAUAAUGAAAUUCGCUGCUGCUCUCCCCGUGGACGUAGGUAUUUACGACUGAACCACGUAAAUAUGGUGUCCGAUCUAUUUUCUUCACAUGUCUAUAUUAUUGUUCGAUCGCUCACCUUUUUGCAACACCCCUUACUUAGUUUAUAGUGCAUCAUCCGACUGAACUGCACUUUGCCUUGCCUUAAUGACAGUUUUCGUGCUGCAUGCCGAUGCUUACAAGAAUCCUCAUCACUGGCUCGAUGACCAACCUCAUCGUAUAAUCGGAUUAGCUAGAACCACUGGGGCCUGUAGGCAGACAAAUGACUUGAUACAGGAAUCGGCAGCAAAUCAUUGGAGUACUCACCAAUGGAAAUAAUGCACGAAAGGGGGAGAAACUCUUCAAUUCGAAAAUGAUCCCACCAUGGCCCUCUCAUUUGUCCCCCAGAUUCCCUUUUUUGUCUAGUGCCUCUCAGCCUUUGGGAGGGAUCAGCUCAGAAAGGGCGCUAGGCGAGGAUCUGUGAGGUACGGGAGACUAGUUUGUGUUGGAAAUUUUAUAUAAUAUAUGCUUAUAUUAAUUAAUUAAUUUUCUAUUUUAAAUAAUUGGGUUAAUGGAUAUUCCAAUAUUUGUUAAACCCUAGAGUGAUUUUAUUGAAUUGGGUAUUAACAUCUAUUGAUAAUGGGCCUAGAUGAGCAGUGAAGUGUAGGCAAUUGUGUUUAACUGAAGCUCGUAAUGGGAAGGGCCCAGUUGACACGCUAUUAAUUAGGGUUUGCUAGAUUCCCUCUCUAGUCUAUAAAAAAGGUAAGUUAUACCUAUCAGUUGCUGGAAUUCCAUUGAAAAAGCUGCUAUAUUGAAAUAGGCAAUAGAGAGGAAGAUUUGGUAUUCCAAUAGAUCUCUGAUUAUCAGAGUGAUCUAUUUUUCAAUGGCUCAAACAUGUACACUUUAAUUCCACUAUGCUUAUUGAUCUCAGUGUUUUACAGUUAUAUAUGGAUCAAAUUCUUCUUGAUUGAUUAGUUGCUUAUGUACAUAAUUUUCUACAUGUGGUAUCAAAGCAAAUCAUAUAUGAUUGUAGAACCCAAUUUUUCUUUUUAUGGAAAAAUUCGAAAUUUUCCUUUUUGAGCUGAAUAUAGGCAUUAUUUUUUCGUGUGGAUUUUUUGCUCAAAUGAUCCUGAAAUCAUAGGGCUUUUGUUCUACAUGUCGAGAUCUUUCCAACCAUAUAUAAUUUGUAUAAUUUCCAUGAGAAUUGAGUGAGAAUUUUAAUUUUAAAUUCUAUAGUCUAUACAUGAAAAAGUUCUAGAAUUUUCAAAUUACUUGCAAUUGAUUGAUGUUCAUUGUAAAUCGUUGCAUGGGUAUUAUUAUAUAUAUGUUUUAACAUCCUUUUAUUGUAUUAAAGUAAGUUUUUGGGGCUUAAAUUUAAUAAAUUCAAAAUUCGGCCAUGGGAGGUUUAGAUCCGAAACUUUGAAGUUUGAAUAUGAAGAUUUUUUUGUUUUGUUAUUUGUUUAAUUCAAUCUAGUUAAUUAUAUUCAUGUUAUAUGCAAGACCCAUGGAGAAAUUUCAUCAAAAAUCAAGUUAAUUUGUGUUUUUGGAGCUUUGAGUCGAAACUAGGUCAUGUGACCCGAUUUGCUAAAAAUUCGGGACCCUACUAGAGGUUGAAGAAGACCUCCAGCCGGGCCCAGCCGGGCCGGGCCAAAUGGAUGGGCUUAUGCCCAUUUUUUUUAAUGUUUUAGGUUCUAGGCCCCAGAACCUUAAUGUUUUUAAUGGGGUCUGGGCUCACGCCCAAGAAACAAAUGAAGAGAGGUUUUGGGCGAAAUAAAGGACUUAGCCCAUUUUUAUUACAUUUUUUUUUAUCCGUGGACCAUUUAAUUCGUGGCCCACCUGUUCCAAGCAGCCCGCGUGGGCUCCUGCGGGUUUACGGGCCAGGCGAAGAUCAGGGCUCGCAGAUAGGGUCCAAAAUAUUAAAAUAAUAUUAAAAUUAAAAAAAUUAAAAAAAUUGUGGCAAAAAUUGUUUCUUGAAAAAUGCAAUAUGAUCUUUGGAAGCACAUGUUGUAAAGUGCUUCAUAUUUUUUGAUGAAUUUUGGGUAAAAAAUUUUGGAGUUCCCUAUUGAUAAAAAUUAGUAUAUAUAAUUACUCGCCCAAAUGGGGUUAUUGUGUAUAUUAAUUUGGAAAAUAGCAUGAAGAUUAAUUCCCAUAUUUAAAAGAUGGGGAUGUAUAAUUGAAAAAUAUUUAUCUGCUCAAAGGAGAUAAAUGUUUUGAAAAUUAUAUGUAAUUUCCCUCUAUAUUGAUAUUAUGGAGAUGUAUAAUUUAAAGGAUUUGUCUGCCCAAAGGAGAUGGAUCAUUGACAAUUAUAUAUAAUUCUCCUUGUUGUUGCUUUAUAAACUCCAUACUGUGAAAAAUAAUUGUGCAUUAUACACUCUGCCCAAAUAGGAGUUUAUAAUGUACUAAUCAUUUUUGUUGAAUUGCUUAUUGUCCAUAACUGAUCUUAUUGCAUUAUGUGUGAUAAACAAUUACAUUUAUUGUAAUUAACAACAAUACCACAGUUGAAAUGAUAACUAGAUCUAUUAUUAUAUUGUUAAAGACUUGGUUAAAAAAUGAGACAUUGUGAUUGAAAAUAUCAUAAUUGAGUCCAUGUUGACUAAUCCUCUAAUAAAAGGCUUACGACCCAUUUUAUUUAAAGAACAUGUAAAGAAUAUGGGUGUUUUAGAUUCUUUUGAUUUUUUUUGUUAGUGGGAGCUAUAUAAUUUGUAUUUCUGGAUAUUAUAGUUAUAUGCAGACUGAUAAUGCUUUUAUGAUGUCUAUUAAAGUAUUUAUUUUCAAUGAUCAUUAUUAUUGAUUCUAUUAUUAUCUUUUUUCCUGUUAAUUGAGAAAUGGAAGCAUAAAACAGUAUCUUUAAACAAAUUUUAGUUUAAAAACGGCUUGAUGUCACUGAUUAUGAGAUCUCAUGUUGGAUUGUGACAUAAUCAUGCAAUUUCAUGUUGUUUAGAAAUUGUGUUAAUGCAGUAUCAUGUCAUUGAGAAAUUGCAUUAAUGACCGAUAAGAAAUAGUGUAUAUUUUGAUCACAUGUUGGGACUAUUUCUUACUAUACUAUUAGGCUUAUGAUCCAUGAAAAUAUAAUGCUUAUUAUAUGUGAUUAUGGAAUGUCAUGUGUUGUAAUAUUUUUUAACACAUUGGUCCCCAUAGUCCUAUACUAGGGUUAUAUAGAAUUGAAUUGGUUUUGAGAUGCCGUUAUUGGAAUAUUAUUUUUUAAAGUUGUGGCCACAUAAAACAAAAUUUUCAGUUAUUAACCCGAUAGUGUCAUUUUCAAUAUAAAAUCAUUUUGAAAAUAAAAAUAAGUUAAUUAAUGUAGCCAAAGUGGGAGAAUGUUGGAAAUUUUCUAUAAUAUAGGCUUAUAUUAAUUAAUUAAUUUUCUAUUUAAAAUAAUUAGGUUAAUGAAUAUUCCAAUAUUUAUUAAACCCUAUAGUGAUCUUAUUAAAUUGGGUAUUAGCAUCUAUUAAUAACGAGCCUAGUUGAGCAGUAAAGUGUAGGCAAUUGUGUUUAAUUGAAGCCCGUAAUGGGAAGGGCCCAGUUGACACGUUGUUGAUUAGAGUUUACUAGGUCUCUUUUCUAGUCUAUAAAAUGGUAGGUUAUACCUAUCAGUUGCUGAAAUUCCAUUGAAAGAGCCGUUAUAUCGAAAUAGAUCAUAGAGAGGAAGAUCUGGUAUUCUAAUAUAUCUCUAAUUAUCAGAGUAAUCUAUUUUUCUUCAAAUGAAGUAAUGACUCAAACGGGUACGCUUUAAUUCCAUUGUGCUUAUUGAUUUCAGUGUUUUAUAGUCAUUUAUGGAUUCGAUUCUUCUUGAUUGAUUAGUUGUUUAUGUGCAUAAUUUUCUACAGUUCGAGCUCCCAGGGCUCGACAAUUUGCAGCAGCCUGACAAUAAGAUGAUCGAAAAUCACGACAUGGGUCUCCCCAACUUUGAAAUAACUUUUAUGGAGACAUUUAGAACCGUAGUUUCUUUCAUAGAAACUCAAUUCUGAGCAGCAAAUGGCAACAAUUUUUCAGGUGACAUGUCGACACAAAUAGCUAAAAAGAAAAAAACAAAGAAAAUCAUUAGCAUCAAUAGCUGCCAAAUUUGUUGGUGAAUCCCUCAAUAGACAAGAAAUAUAUCGUCCAGACUUAUCGCCAUACUAAACGAAGUGCUAAAUGACAUUUAAUAAAUAGUCACAAAACAUGUGCUAUAGCCAAGAAGACUGGCAGAAAUAAAUUAUUGAACUUUUUGAAUACAGUGAUGUGAUAAAGCUGAAAGAAAUAAACAUAGAAAAAAGACCCAGUUGGUGAGAUAAGACAGGAAAAAUACCAAAAUAGUUUUAAACCUAUUGCAUUGGUAUCAAUUCAAACAUUUCAAUUAGAUCAAUUUAGUCAUAAUUAUUUUCACAUUUAUACCAAUUUGGUCAAUCUGGUCAAUUUUAACCAACUAGUACUAAUCUGGAUGCUAGCAAUUCGGCCAAAAACGACGGGGCAAUUUUUUAAUCUUUUAAUUUUUUUUGAAUUUCUUAUUUCUUAUUUUUUUUCUUUUUCUUUUUCCUUUCCUUUUUCCUCUUCUUUCUCCUUAGGCUUCUUAACAUUAUGCUACAGUGCUAUGAAUGGUACCAAAUAGUAUACUACAAUGCUAUGAACAAUACUUUAAGCCAAAAUUUUCAACUUCACAUAGGUCAUUUUAACUCUUCUUAUUUGUCUAAAGUGGUUGUUCAACUCCCUUAUUUAUUGUUCCUAUGGAUAGAUUCGCUAGAGGAAAAAAGGAAAGGCCCACUGCAAGGAAAAGAAGCCCAAGGAGAGGAAGAAGAGGAAAAAGAAAAGGGCUGCUGCACGGAAAAGAAGCCUAAGGAGGAAGGAGAGGAAAAUGAAAACGAAAAGGAAAGGAAAAAGAAAAAAAUUCAAAAAAAAUAUAAAAAUUAUUAAAAGUUACCACAUCAGCAUUGGCCGUUCACUAAUCGAUGUCCAUGUCAAUGCCAGUUGGAUGAAUUGAAUAAGUAUCAAUGUGAAAAGGCUUACGACUACAUUGCUCCAAUUGAAAUGUCUAUAUUUGAAUUAAUGUCAAUGCAAUAGCUUUAGGACUUUUUUUUGUACUUUUCCUUAGAUAAAGACUGUGUGCUAUGGGAAUGGCCUGAAGAAAAGGACAAAAUCCCUUAUUGGGCAUCAUGCCCCUCACAGUUUUAUGGAUAUAAAUAAUAUGGAAUGCACCAUUACUUGGCCAAAGAAGUCAAUAAUCAAUUGAUUAAAGUCCCGAAAAGUCAAUAUAUCAAAUAAUAAAGAGUAAAAAAUUUGUCAAUUUGAAAUGGGAAAAUAUGGGAUGAAGGUCCAGGGAAAAAAUAAGGCACUUUACCUUCUCUAUCAAAUUCCCAAAUCUCAAAACCCUAAUCCAGUUUACCCAUGACAGAAUCUAGGUAUAUUCCCCCCGAGUAAGCCUCCACCAUCCAGAUCCUCCCUCUUCAUGGUGCCCUAGGGCAGAACGCAUGCAGUCUCCACUGGAUUCCCCUGCAUUUCCCUUAGCUUCUCAUUUUUCCAGGUGAUCGAUGAAUGCUUGUAAUUUUCAUUGGGUUUCAUCGCAGCUCCCCAAGUUUUCUUUCUCCCAGGCGCCCCAUGGAAAUCAUUGCGCUUUAGUGCCUAUCUGCCUAUCAUUUUAAAGCGUCUGGAAGUUCUGGUGUCUUUGGGUUUCUGCACCUCCAAUUAUUUGCUCUAGCCGAUCGAAGAGAAUCCCUUGUUUUCUGUUCUUAAUAAACACCCCUUUUUGAACAACCAUCAUCUUAUAGGGAUCCCUUCAAUCCACAACAAAACAAUAAGUUUUCUCAGUCCAUUCGGCAAAGGUGACAGGAGAUGGAAGGCAGGGAUGUCGCGACCCGAUCUCGCCGCCCCUCGAGAAGUAUCCAAGGUGGGAAAGGUCAGGUUUAGGGAUACUUGAUCACGAGAGUUUCCUCACGAGAUCGCGAGCUCUCCCAAGCUCAUACCCUGCGCAACAGCGGAUUUAUUUAUACGAUCUAGGUAUUUAACAACCUAAAAAAAUAGAAAGGAGUCGCCACUAGCCUCAUUUUGGGGGUCGACUAGAAACCCAAUCGAGGUUCGGGAGUGAUCCCUCGAUUCCUACGUAACCAGAUAUCUAGGUUCGGGGACUUGGGUUACGCUAAUAUUGCUAUUAGCGCCCUUUCGGUACCUAAACAGUAUGUUGUGUUUUUCCUAACAUUUUCAUGCAUUUCUUUUUAUAUUUUCAGGAUUGUCAAUUCUAUACUAAAUGAUCAUGCGUGGUGGAUUACUUUCAUUCUAUUCUAUUCCUAAUAAAUGAAAGGAAAACAAACAAUGAAAAUGAAAUUUGCAUGACAUGAAGUAAACAAUCAAGAAAAGCAGUUAAACCUAAUCAUGCAAUUCUAAAAAAAAAUAAAAGAGAAAACAAUUGGGAAAGAAAGGAAACCCGCAACUCGUCGGGUUUUAUACAAUGCAUGGAACCCGAGACAUAUAUCGGGAAAAUGGGUAUUACAUGAAAAUGGUCGGAAUGGACAUCGACCUCCACCAUCUUCAUGCCUUCUCCAUCUUCAAGGUCCUAAUCUAAACCUUAUCUAAGAAAUUUAUGACUAGGUGCAUACAAGUGAAAGAAACAAUCAUCACAACUAAGAUCAAAGCAAUUGGGGUAGAACCCAUGUAUGAUUGGCUCUAAGAAAAAAGCACAGAAAUCAAACACUUUAUAAAGAGCAACUUUCAUGAAUGGAAUUUCCUAAGAUGUAUCAAGUUCAAAUAAGAUCAAAUUCAUGGUCGAAAAGCAACAAUCGCUAAAGCAUGCAAAUCAAUCAUAAGCAAAUCAAAGAAUGAUGCAUGACAACAGACUUAUUAAGUCACCUAAUCAAUGCAUGAAAAUCAUGAAAUUUGAACAUGACGUAGGGUUAAAUGUGAAGAAAAAAAGUUUGAUUUAGACAUUUAACCCUAAAUCCAUGUGCAAAAGGCCACACAAAUCCAUUAACAUUGAUAUGUGACUUGUCAUGAGGAGCAAAAUGCAUAACAAUUUAAAUUGCUACAUGUCGACUUGAAUUCUAAGGUUACUUGACCUUAAAAAUUCUCAAAUUUUAGCAUGGGAUGGAUAUGGAUAUUAUGGACAGCUUUCAUUGAGAAUUUAUCCUCAAGAUCAUUAUGUAUAAGAUCACACAAAAUUGGUAGACAGUCAGAUUUAUAGAGACAAGACAGCACUGCAGGUCAAGACAAAUUCAGACUUCAAAACUUGAUCUAAAAAAAAAAGGAAAGCAGGGCAGAUGAUGGGCAAAUUGGACAAACUAGGCAUCGUUAGAAAGCUCAAGGUGUCCUUUACAAAUUCCUAUUAGGUGACAAUUGCAAUUUAGGUCUUUUUCUAGCUCAAGCAAAGCCAUUUGUAUAAGUGGUCAGAUCAGAUCAUAACAAGCAGAACACAUCAGCAGAUUAGUGCUCUUUGCAUGAAGCAUCCGGCAGGGCAAAUGAUGGCCAAAUCGCACAUAUAAUAUGUCUAUGGAAAGCUUGAGAAGUCUAUUACAAAUCUCUAGAAGACAUUAAGUCCUAAUAACAUCAUCUACCAGCUCAGUCCAGUUAAAACAGAAAAUCGCAGAACAGCAAAUCAACCUAAAA